AUGUAUCAAGUUGAGUCCAUUAGGGACGCGUCCUAGGGUUGGAGGACGACUCUAGCACCCCUUUGGUCGUCCUCCCCUCUAUUUAUUUACAUCUAGAGCCGCCAUGAACUGGGUUUUGUUUAGAUCAAGUUUAGCCUUCGCUACUUGCUUGUAGGCGCGCGUGCAGGAUCAGCCGCCCGUCUCCUUGUCUUCGGAACCCCAUUGUUGAUUCAGAUUCAGUUUGAAACCUUCAAUUCAUCUUGCGAAUUCAGUGCUUGUUUCCUCGUUCUUGCUAGUUCUUCGAUUGCUUGCAGGACGGGAGCCCUAGGGACUGGUUGUCGCGCUCCACAAGAUCAUGACGGCUGUUGGACGUGGUGUAUCGGUUGCUAAGGCGCAGUCUUGAGGGCUGUAGUCGGGCCGUGAACGUCAUCUCCAUCCACUAAUCGAGUUAUCCAGCGCCUCUCAUCGAAAGAUCAGGCCAAAAACCCUAGCGGGUUCGCAUCAGUUGGUAAUCAGAGCAAGGUUCUUCGGUGAGAGACUUCUAAUCCUUUGCUGUUUUUAAUUAAUUUCCUAUAGUCCAGAAAAGCCAAAAAAAAUAUAGUAGAUUAGUUUUUUCAUAAUCCUAUUAAACCUUUGUGCCUUGGCUAGUACCGUUUUAGUUAGGGCUUGUUGAAUUUGCGUUGCUUCGGUUUGUGUCGAGUUGCUGGUCUUAGUGUCUAGUCCUUUAGAGUUUCGAGUUCUUGUCACCAUCUAUACACAGCCGAGUAUUACCAUAUCUUCUCUCUGUCGAAUCUGUUGUGAAGUCCGAAUUGAACUGUGAUCCAAAAAGAAAGAUAACUCCAUACUUGUUCGGCCUUACUCUAGAGAGAGAGAGAGAGUGUGUGUGUGUGUAGCGAAUUGCUCUUUUGUAUUCCUUUGUUCAUAUAAUCAGUUUUUGAGGUUGCCCAAAAAAAAAGAAAAAAAAAGAAAAAAAAAGAAAAGAGAAAAGAUUCAAAAGAAAAAAAAGGGGCUGUUUUUCAUAUUGAUUUUAGGUUUCUUCCACCUUGUUUUCGGGGGUGUGCUGUGGUUUUCCUUUGUGUCCAGGCUCGCGUCUCUAGCACGGUCUAGCCUAGGACCAGCACAGUACCAUUGUCGAACGCUUAUUCAGCUCGCUUUUAUAACUAACGUGGUGCUAGUUCGUUCCUUGUUUCAGCCCACCUAUAGCUCCACAUACUCUAUAGCUUGACAGGUCUUGUGCUGCAGCAACGAUACACUUCGUCCAUUGCUGUACACUUGUUGGCAGACGACCCCUCCUGUCAAGCAAGGUAAGAAUUGGUAAGAACUUGUGUUACAGGUUGAGUGUGAGCGACUUGCUGUAGCUACAUUCUAGUAGUUGUAGGGCUUUUAUUUCUUCACUUGCCUUUUUGUUGUCUUUGUCUUUGAACCAUGCCAGGGGCAGAUGAUGGUAACGAAACACCACUUACACCUCGCACUAAGGGCAUCAUACAACAUUUUGAAAGGAAAGUGAAGCUGCACACAGAGGGACUUGAUAACGACUUGCAGGUGACAAAUGAAAAGCUAGGGCAGUUGGAGGCUACGCAGAUUGCCACAAACAACAAGCUCACAAGUUUGGAGGAAUCCGUUGCUAGUGUGGACAAAAGCCUUGCUGCUCUCCUAAGGCGAUUUGAUGCUUUCCACACCGAAGAUAAAGAGAAGCAUAAAGAAGAAAAGGAGGGAGAUCGAGAGCACGGUAGUCAUGAAGAUGACUACACUGGUGAUACUGAACAUGAUGAUCAAGACACUCGUGAUCGACGUCGCCUUCGUCACAACCGUAGAGGUAUGGGUGGCAACCGCCGACGCGAGGUACACAAUAAUGAUGAUGCUUUCAGUAAGAUUAAAUUUAAGAUACCCCCUUUUGAUGGUAAAUAUGACCCUGAUGCUUACAUCACUUGGGAGAUUGCUGUUGAUCAAAAGUUUGCAUGUCAUGAAUUUCCUGAGACUACACGUGUUAGGGCUGCUACUAGUGAGUUUACAGAUUUUGCUUCUGUUUGGUGGAUAGAAUAUGGAAAGAAAAAUCCUAAUAACUUACCUAGAACUUGGGAUGCGCUGAAAAGGGCCAUGAGAGCUAGAUUUGUUCCAUCUUACUAUGCGCGUGAUAUGAUAAAUAAGUUGCAGCAGUUAAGACAAGGUGCUAAAAGUGUAGAAGAAUAUUAUCAGGAAUUACAAACGGGUAUGUUGCGUUGUAACCUAGAGGAGGAUGAGGAACCGGCUAUGGCUAGAUUUUUGGGUGGGUUAAAUCGGGAAAUUCAGGACAUCCUUGCUUACAAAGAAUACAAUAAUGUAACCCGUUUGUUUCAUCUUGCUUGUAAAGCUGAAAGGGAAGUGCAGGGACGACGUGCUAGCGCAGGGAGUAAUAUUUCUGCAGGGAAGGCUAAUUCAUGGCAGCAACACAUGGCUUCAACUCCAUCUACACGUAUUUCUACUCCAUCAUCUAGUGACAAGGCUCGAGCUGCCCACACCAAUUCAGUUGCGAAGACGACGCAAAAGCUUGCUGCGAGUACUUCAUCCGUGGCAUCGACGGGUAGAACAAGCAACAUACAAUGUCACCUGUGUAAGGGAUAUGGGCACAUGAUGCGUGACUGUCCAAACAAGCGAGUUAUGAUUGUCAGGGAUGAUGGUGAGUACUCAUCUGCUAGUGAUUUUGAUGAGGAUACGCUUGCACUGCUUGCGACUGACCAUGCAGGUAAUGAAGAUCAAAAAGAAGAACAUAUUAAUGCAGGUGAAGCGGACCACUAUGAGAGCUUGAUCGUGCAGCGAGUGCUUAGUGCACAAAUAGAGAUGGCGGAGCAAAAUCAGCGACACAUUUUAUUCCAAACAAAGUGUGUCAUCAAAGAGCGUUCUUGUCGCAUGAUCAUUGAUGGAGGUAGCUGCAACAACUUGGCAAGCAGCGAUAUGGUGCAGAAGCUUGCCCUCAACACAAAAUACACCCGCAUCCCUACUACAUCCAAUGGCUGAACAACAGUGGUAAGGCAAAGGUAACUAGACUUGUGAGAAUUAAUUUUUCCAUCGGAUCCUACAAAGAUAUUGUUGAAUGUGAUGUUGUGCAUAUGCGAUCUUGUAACAUUCUGCUAGGUAGACCUUGNNNNNNNNNNNNNNNNNNNNNNNNNNNNNNNNNNNNNNNNNNNNNNNNNNNNNNNNNNNNNNNNNNNNNNNNNNNNNNNNNNNNNNNNNNNNNNNNNNNNACCAUUUUGGACGCACUAAUUGGUACUCCUUGGUGAAGAGGCUCAAUUGGAAGCUUGGUUUGGUCACUUUGGAGACAGUGCUAAUCCAUAUGCAAGGUAGUUGCAUGGUUUGCAUGGAACGUACCAUAUGCUCAGAAAUCAAUUUGGACGCACCAGAUGGAACUCCUAGAUGACAUGUGUCAUAUGGAAUCUCACUUUGGUCCGUUUAGAGACUGUGUUAGUUUCGGUGCAAGAUAGGUGCACGGUUUGCAUCUAAUGCACCAUAGGAUAAGAAACCAUUUUGGACACACCCGAUGGUACACCUAGGUCCAGGGGCUCAAGUGAAAGCUCGGUUUGGUCUGUUUGGAGAUAGUGCUAAUCUUGAUGCAAGAUAGAAGCACAGUUUGCAUGGAACAUAUGAUAUGCUCCGAAAUCAAUUAGGACGCACCUGAUAUAACUCCUUGAUGAUGUGUGUCAUAUGGAAUGCUGCUUCGGUUCGUUUAGAGACAGUGUUAGUUUUGGUAGAAGAUAUGUGCACGGUUUACGCCUAAUGCACCAUAGGCUAAGAAACCAUUUUAGACGCACCCGAUGGUACUCGUAGUUGAAGAGGCUCAAGUGGAGGCUCGAUUUGGUCUGUUCGGAUAUAGUGCUAAUCUUGAUGCAAGAUAGUUGCACAGUUUGCAUGGAACAUACCAUAGGUUAAGACACACACCCAAUGGAACUCCUAGAUGACGUGUGUCAUAUGGAAUCUCGCUUCAGUCUGUUUGGAGACAAUGUUAGUUUCGGUGCAAGAUAGGUGCAUAGUUUGUGCCUAAUGCACCAUAGUCUAAGAAACCAUUUUUGACACACCUGUUUGUACUCCUAGAUGAAGAGGCUCAAGUGGAAGCUCGGUUCGAUCUGUUUGGAGAUAGUGCUAAUCUUCAUGCAAGAUAGUUGCACAGUUUGCAUGGAACAUACCAUAUGUUGAGAAAUAAAUUUGGACGCAUCCAAUGGAACUCCUAGAUGACGUGUGUCAUGGAAUCUCGCUUCGGUUUGUUUGGAGACAAUGUUAGUUUCGGUGCAAGAUAGGUGCAUAGUUUGUGCCUAAUGCACCAUAGUCUAAGAAACCAUUUUUGAUGCACCUGUUUGUACUCCUAGAUGAAGAGGCUCAAGUGGAAGCUCGGUUCGGUCUGUUUGGAGAUAGUGCUAAUCUUGAUGCAAGAUAGGUGCACGGUUUGCAUGGAACAUACCAUAUGCUUGGAAAUCAAUUUGGAUGCACCCGAUGGAACUCCUUGAUGACGUGUGUCAUAUGGAAUCUCGCUUUGGUCUGUUUAGAAACAGUGUUAGUUUCGGUGCAAGUUAUGUGCAAGGUUUGCACCUAAUGCACCAUAGUCUAAGAAACCAUUUUGGAAGCACCUGUUGGUACUUCGGUGAAGAGGCUCAAGUGGGUGCUCUGUUUCAUCUGUUUGGAGAUAGUGCUAAUCUUGAUGCAAGAUAGGUACAUGAUUUGCAAGGAACAUACCAUAUGCUUUGAUGAGGACAUCAACACCAGCGAUACAUCCUCUCCUACAUCCUCUCCGACACAACCUAUAGCUGGUCCUACAUCCUCUCCGACACAACCUAUAGCUGGUCCUACAUCCUCUCCGACUCAACCUAUAGCUGGUCCUCUUACUCGUGCUCGUGUUCAUCAACUCAACCUUCAAGUAAGUUCAGUUUUAAACUCUUGUCAAUCAUAUUUAGACAAUGGAGACACGUGCACUUCCGUGUUGCUCAGGAAUAAUGGACAAGAUCAGCAAGGAAAGGUUCAACUGCAUUCAGAAUUUGAGGCAACACCAACUUCAAGGGCUGAUUGCAUAUGGGAAGAGUGAUAACUUAACAAAGGUGAUUGGAGAUCAGGUCCAAGCCUCCACAACAUCCUCUAUCAAGUUACCACGUCGCUUCUAAAGCAAGGAAACAAAGAGUCCAAACCCAACACGUUUUGGGAGUUGGAUUCGGACUGGAAAAUAACUCUAACUUGUAUGGAUCACCACGGCAUCAUAUGGACUCCAAGUGGGACGUUCCUGUACUUGUUGGAAAGCUCAUGAAGUCUACUUUCCAAUGGGUCCAACCACAUAUCUAUGCAGCUUAUGAGUCGGGUGCAGUCCUUGUUUUUGUGCCGACACCUUUUUCUGUUUUGGUGCUGCGUCACCCUAUUUUGGACCAAUGGCCCAUGUAUCAAGUUGAGUCCAUUAGGGAUGCGUCCUAGGGUUGGAGGACGACUCUAGCACCCCUUUGGUCGUCCUCCCCUCUAUUUAUUUACAUCUAGAGCCACCAUGAACAACUGGGUUUUGUUUAGAUCAAGUUUAGCCUUCGCUACUUGCUUGUAGGCGCGCGUGCAGGAUCAGCCGCCCGUCUCCUUGUCUUCGGAACCCCAUUGUUGAUUCAGAUUCAGUUUGAAACCUUCAAUUCAUCUUGCAAAUUCAGUGCUUGUUUCCUCGUUCUUGCUAGUUCUUCGAUUGCUUGCAGGACGGGAGCCCUAGGGGCUGGUUGUCGCGCUCCACAAGAUCGUGACGGCUGUUGGACGUGGUGUAUCGGUUGCUAAGGCGCGGUCUUGAGGGCUGUAGUUGGGCCGUGAACGUCAUCUCCAUCCACUAAUCGAGUUAUCAAGCGCCUCUCAUCGAAAGAUCAGGCCAAAAACCCUAGCGGGUUCGCAUCAGUUGGUAAUCAGAGCAAGGUUCUUCGGUGAGAGACUUCUAAUCCUUUGCUGUUUUUAAUUAAUUUCCUAUAGUCCAGAAAAGCCAAAAAAAUAUAGUAGAUUAGUUUUUCCAUAAUCCUAUUAAACCUUUGUGCCUUGGCUAGUACCGUUUUAGUUAGGGCUUGUUGAAUUUGCGUUACUUCGGUUUGUGUCGAGUUGCUGGUCUUAGUGUCUAGUCCUUUAGAGUUUCGAGCUCUUGUCACCAUCUAUACACAGCCGAGUAUUACCAUAUCUUCUCUCUGUCGAAUCUAUUGUGAAGUCCGAAUUGAACUGGGAUCCAAAAAGAAAGAUAACUCCAUACUUGUUCGGCCUUACUCUAGAGAGAGAGAGUNNNNNNNNNNNNNNNNNNNNNNNNNNNNNNNNNNNNNNNNNNNNNNNNNNNNNNNNNNNNNNNNNNNNNNNNNNNNNNNNNNNNNNNNNNNNNNNNNNNNCUGUUUGCAUGGACGUACCAUAUGCUCGGAAAUCAAUUUGGACGCAACCGAUGGAACUCCUAGAUGACAUGUGUGAUAUGGAAUCUCGCUUUGGUCAAUUUGGAGAGAGUGUUAGUUUCGGUGCAAGAUAGGUGCACAGUUUGCCCCUAAUGCACCGAAGGCUAAGGAACCAUUUGGACACACCUGAUGGACAUGCAGGUAAAGGCGCUCAAAUGGAAAUUAGGUUUGGUCUAUUUUGAUAAGUGCUAAUCUUGAUGCAAGAUAGGUGCACAGGUUGCGUGGAACGUACCAUAUGCUCGGGAAUCCAUUUGGAUGCACCCGAUGGAACUAGAUGACGUGUGUCAUAUGGAAUUUAACUUCCCUCCAUUUGGAGAUAGUGUUAAUUUUGGUGCAAGAUAGGUGCACGGUUUGCAUGGAACGUACCAUAUACUCAGAAAUCAAUUUGGAUGCACUCGAUGGAACUCCUAGAUGACGUGUGUCAUAUAGAAUCUCACUUUGGUCUGUUUGGGGACAUUGUUAGUUUUGGUGCAAGAUAGGUGCACGGUUUGAACCUAAUGCACCAUAGGCUAAGAAACCAUUUUGGAUGCACCUCAUGGUACUCCUAGGUAAAUGGGCUCAAAUGGAAGCUCAUUUUGGUCUGUUUGGAGAUAGUGCUAAUCUUGUUGCAAGAUAGGGGCACGGUUUGCAUGGAACGUACCAUAUGCUCGAAAAUCAAUUUGGACGCACCCGAUAGAACUCCUAGAUAAUGUGUGUCAUAUGGAAUCUUGCUUCAGUCUAUUUGGAGAUAGCGUUAGUUUCGAUGCAAGAUAGGUGCACGGUUUGUGCCUAAUGCACCAUAGACUUAGAAACCAUUGUGGAAGCACCUGAUGUUACUUCUAGGUGAAGAGGCUCAAGUGGAAGCUCAGUUUGGUCUAUUUGGAGAUAGUGCUAAUCUUGAUGUAAGAUAGGUGCACAGUUAGGAUUGAACGUACCAUAUGCUUAGAAAUCAAUUUGGACGCAACCGAUAGAACUCCUAGAUGACGUGUGUCAUAUGCAAUCUCACUUUAGUCUGAUUGGAGACAAUGUUAGUUUUAGUGGAUGAUAGGUGCAUGGUUUGCGCCUAAUGCAUCAUAAGCUAAGAAACCAUUUUGGAUGCACUCAAUGUUUCUCCUAGGUAAAGGGGCUUAAGUGGAAGCUCGGUGGGUUUGUUUGGAGAUAGUGCUAAUCUUGAUGCAAGAUAGGUGCACGGUUUGCAUGGAACGUACCAUAUACUCGGAAAUCAAUUUGGAUGCACCCGAUGGAACUACUAGAUGACGUGUGUUAUAUGGAAUCUCACUUCAGUCUGUUUGGAGGCAGUGUUAGUUUCGGUGCAAGAUAGGUGCACCGUUUGGACCUAAUGCACCAUUGGCUAAGAAACCAUUUUGGAUGAUCCCAAUGAUACUCCUAGGUAAAUGGGCUCAAAUGGAAGCUCGGUUUGGUCUGUUUGGAGAUAGUGAUAAUCUUGAUGCAAGAUAGGGUCAUGGUUUGCAUCGAACAUACCAUAUGAUCAAAAAUCAAUUUGGACGCACCCGAUAGAACUCCUAGAUGGCGUGUGUCAUAUGGAAUCUUGCUUCAGUCUAUUUAGAGAUAGCGUUAGUUUCGAUGCAAGAUAGGUGCACGGUUUGUACCUAGUGCAGCAUAGACUCAGAAACCAUUGUGGAAGCACCCGAUGUUACUCCUAGGUGAAGAGGCUCAAGUGGAAGCUCGUUUGGGUCUGUUUGGAGAUAGUGCUGAUCUUGAUGCAAGAUAGGCGCACGGUUUGCAUGGAAUGUACCAUAUGGUCAGAAAUCAAUUUGGACACACCCAAUGGAACUCCUAGAUGACGUGUGUCAUCUGAAAUCUCGCUUCGGUAUUUUUGGAGAAAGUGUUAGUUUCGGUGCAAAAUAGGUGCACGGUUUGCGCCUAAUGCACCGAAGGCUAACAAACCAUUUUGGACACACCUGAUGGACACGUAGGUAAAGGCGCUCAAUUGAAAAUAGGUUUGGUCUAUUUUGAGAUGUGCUAAUCUUGCUGCAAGAUAGGUGCACAGGUUGUGUGGAACAUACCAUAUGCUCAGAAAUCAAUUUGGAUGCAUCCGAUAAAACUAGAUGACAUGUGUCAUAUGGAAUUUUACUUCCCUCUUUUUGGAGAUAGUGUUCAUUCUGGUGCAAGAAAGGUGCACGGUUUGCGCUUAAUGCACCAUAGGCUAAGAAACUAUUUCGGACACACCUGUUGGUACUUCUAGGUGAAGGGGCUUGAAUGGAAGAUUGGUUUGGUUUGUUUGAUGAUAGUGCUAAUCUUGACGCUAGAUAGGAGCAUGGUUUGUGUGGAACAUACCAUAUGCUCAGAUAUUAAUUGGGACACCCAAUACUAGAUGAUGUGUGUCAUGUGCAAUCUCGCUUCAGUCUGUUUGGAGACAAUAUUUGUUUCGGUGCAAGAUAGAUGCACGGUUUGCGCCUAAGGCACCAUUGUCUGACAAAACCAUUUUGAACACACCUAAUGGUACUCCUAGGUGAAGAGGCUUAAGUGGAAGCUCAGUUUGGUUUGUUUGGAGAUAGUGCUAAUCUUGAUGCAAGAUAGGUGCACGGUUUGCAUGGACCGUACCAUAUUCUCAGAAAUUAAUUUGGACGCAACCGAUGAAACUCCAAGAUAACGUGUGUCAUAUGCAAUCUCACUUGAGUGUGUUUGGAGACAGUGUUAGUUUUGGUGCAUGAUAGGUGCACGGUAUGCGCCUAAUGCACCAUAGGCUAAGAAACCAUUUUGGAUGCACUUGAUGUUACUCCUAGGGAAAGGGUCUUAAAUGGAAGCUCGGUUUGGUUUGUUUGGAGAUAGUGCUAAUCUUGAUUUAAGAUAGGUGCACGGUUUUGCAUGGAAUGUACCAUAUGCUUGGAAGUCAAUUUGGAUGCACCUGAUGGAACUUCUAGAUGACGUGUGUCAUAUGGAAUCUCACUUCGGUCUGUUUGGAGACAGUGUUAGUUUUGGUGCAAGAUAUGUGCACGGUUUGCACCUAAUUCAUCAUAGGCUAAGAAACCAGUUUGGAUGCACCGGAUGGUACUCCAAGGUAAAUGGGCUCAAGUGGAAGGUCAAUUUGGUCUGUUUGGAGAUAGUGCUAAUCUUGACGCAAGAUAGGGGCACAGUUUGCAUGGAACGUACCAUAUGCUUAAAAAUCAAUUUGGACGCACCCGACAGAACUCCUAGAUGAUGUGUGUCUUCUGGAAUCUUGCUUUGGUCUAUUUGGAGACACCGUUAUUUUCGGUGUAAGAUAGGUGCACGGUUUGCACCUAAUGCACCAUAACUCAGAAACCAUUGUGGAAGCACCCGCUGUUACUCCUAGGUGAAGAGGCUCAAGUGGAAGCUUGUUUGGGUCUGUUUAGAGAUAGUUCUGAUCUUGAUGCAAGAUAGGUGCACAGUUUGCAUGGAACGUACCAUAUACUUAGAAAUCAAUUUGGAUGCACCCGAUGAAACUCCUAGAUGACAUGUGUCAUAUGGAAUCUCGCUUCGGUCUGUCUGGAGAAAGUGUUAGUUUCGGUGCAAGAUAGGUGCACGGUUUGUGCCUAAUGCAACAGAGGCUAAGAAACGAUUUUGGACACACCUGAUGGACACGUAGGUAAAGGCGCUUAUAUGGAAAGUAGGUUUGGUCUGUUUUGAGAAGUGCUAAUCUUGAUGCAAGAUAGGUGCACAGGUUCCGUGGAACGUACCAUAUGCUCGGAAAUCAAUUUGGAUGCAUCCGAUGGAACUAGAUGAUGUGUGUCAUAUACAAUUUUACUUCCCUCUAUUUGGAGAUAGUGUUAGUUUUGGUGCAAGAUAGGUGCACGGUUUGCGCCUAAUGCACCAUAGGCUAAGAAACCAUUUCGGACACACCUGUUGGUACUUGUAGGUGAAGGGGCUCAAAUGGAAGAUUGGUUUGGUCUGUUUGGUGAUAGUGCUAAUCUUGUUGCUAGAUAGGAGCAUGGUUUGUGUGGAACAUACCAUAUGCUCAUAUAUUAAUAUGGACACCCAAUACUAGAUGAUGUGUGUCAUGUGCAAUCUCGCUUUAGUCUGUUUGGAGACAGUGUUUGUCUCGGUGCAAGAUAGAUGCACGGGUUGUGCCUAAGGCACCAUAGUCUAACAAAACCAUUUUGGACACACCUAAUGGUACUCCUAGGUGAAGAGGCUCAAGUGGAAGCUCGGUUUCGUUUGUUUGGAGAUAGUGCUAAUCUUGAUGCAAGAUAGGUGCACGGGUUUGCAUGGACCAUACCGUAUGCUCAGAAAUUAAUUUGGACGCAACCGAUGAAACUCCUAGAUAACGUGUGUCAUAUGCAAUCUCACUUCAGUCUGUUUGGAGACAGUAUUAGUUUUGGUGCAUGAUAGGUGCACGGUAUGCACCUAAUGCACCAUAGGCUAAGAAACCAUUUUGGAUGCACUCGAUGUUACUCCUAGGUAAAGGGGCUUAAAUGGAUGCUCGGUUUGUUUGUUUGGAGAUAGUGCUAAUCUUGAUGAAAGAUAGGUGCACAGUUUUGCAUGGAAUGUACCAUAUGGUUGGAAGUCAAUUUGGAUGCACCUGAUGGAACUCCUAGAUGAUUUGUGUCAUAUGGAAUCUCACUUCGGUCUGUUUGGAGACAGUGUUAGUUUUGGUGCAAGAUAGGUGCACGGUUUGCACCUAGUGCAUCUUAGGCUAAGAAAUCAGUUUGGAUGCACCCGAUGGUACUCCUAGAUAAAUGGGCUCAAGUGGAAGCUCAAUUUUGUCUGUUUGGAGAUAGUGCUAAUCUUGAUGCAAGAUAGGGGCAUGGUUUGCAUGGAACGUACCAUAUGCUCAUAAAUCAAUUUGGAUGCAACCGAUAGAACUCCUAGAUGACAUGUGUCAUAUGCAAUCUUGCUUCAGUCUGUUUGGAGACAGUGUUUGUUUCGGUGCAUGAUAGGUGCAUGGUUUGCACCUAAUGCACCAUAUGCUAAUAAACCAUUUUGGAUGCACUCAAUGUUACUCCUAGGCAAAGGGGCUUAAGUGGAAGCUCAGUUUGGUUUGUUUGGAGAUAGUGCUAAUCUUGAUGCAAGAUAGGUGCACGGUUUGCAUGGAACGUACCAUAUGCUCAGAAAUCAAUUUGGACGCAACCGAUAGAACUUCUAGAUGACAUGUGUCAUAUGCAAUCUCACUUUACUCUGUUUGGAGAUAGUAUUUGUUUCGGUGCAUGAUAGGUGCACUGUUUGCGCCUAAUGCACCAUACGCUAAGAAACCAUUUUGGAUGCACUCAAUGUUACUCCAAGAUAAAUGGGCUUAAGUGGAAGCUCAGUUUGGUUUGUUUGGAGAUAGUGCUAAUCUUGAUGCAAGAUAGGUGCACGGUUUGCAUGGAACAUACCAUAUACUCGGAAAUCAAUUUGGAUGCACGCGAUGGAACUCCUAGAUGACAUGUGUCAUAUGGAAUCUCGCUUCAGUCUAUCUGGGGAAAGUGUUAGUUUAGAUGCAAGAUAGGUGCACUAUUUGCGCCUAAUGCAACGAAGGCUAAGAAACCAUUUUGGACACACCUAGUGGACACAUAGGAAAGGCGGUCAAAAGGAAAAUAGGUUUGGUCUGUUUUGAGAAGUGCUAAUCUUGAUGCAAGAUAGGUGCACAGGUUGCAUGGAACGUACCAUAUGCUCAGAAAUCAAUGAAGUGUAUCAUAUGGAAUUUUACUUCCCUCUAUUUGGAGAUAGUGUUAGUUUUGGUGCAAGAUAGGUGCACGGUUUGCGCCUAAUGCACCAUAGGCUAAGAAACCAUUUCGGACACACCUGUUGGUAAUUCUAGGUGAAGGGGCUCAAAUGGAAGAUUGGUUUGGUCUGUUUGGAGAUAGUGUUAAUGUUGUUGCUAGAGAGGAUCAUGGUUUGUGUGGAACAAAACUUAUGCUCAGAUUUUAAUGUGGACACCCAAUACUGGAUGAUGUGUGUCAUGUCCAAUCUCACUUCAGUCCGUUUGGAGACAGUGUUUAUUUUGGUGCAAGAUAGAUGCACGGUUUACGCCUAAGGCACCAUAGUCUAACAAAACCAUUUUGGACACACCUAAUGGUACUCCUAAGUGAAGAGGUUCAAGUGGAAGCUUGGUUUGGUUUGUUUGGAGAUACUGCUAAUCUUGAUGCAAGACAAGUGCACGGUUUGCAUCGACNNNNNNNNNNNNNNNNNNNNNNNNNNNNNNNNNNNNNNNNNNNNNNNNNNNNNNNNNNNNNNNNNNNNNNNNNNNNNNNNNNNNNNNNNNNNNNNNNNNNGGUAUGCACUAAUUGCACCAUAGGCUAAGAAACCAUUUUGGAUGCACUCGAUGUUACUCCUAGGUAAAGGGGCUUAAAUGGAUGCUCGGUUUGUUUGUUUGGAGAUAGUGCUAAUCUUGAUGAAAGAUAGGUGCACAGUUUUGCAUGGAAUGUACCAUAUGGUUGGAAGUCAAUUUGGAUGCACCUGAUGGAACUCCUAGAUGAUUUGUGUCAUAUGGAAUCUCACUUCGGUCUGUUUGGAGACAGUGUUAGUUUUGGUGCAAGAUAGGUGCACGGUUUGCACCUAGUGCAUCUUAGGCUAAGAAAUCAGUUUGGAUGCACCCGAUGGUACUCCUAGAUAAAUGGGCUCAAGUGGAAGCUCAAUUUUGUCUGUUUGGAGAUAGUGCUAAUCUUGAUGCAAGAUAGGGGCAUGGUUUGCAUGGAACGUACCAUAUGCUCAUAAAUCAAUUUGGAUGCAACCGAUAGAACUCCUAGAUGACAUGUGUCAUAUGCAAUCUUGCUUCAGUCUGUUUGGAGACAGUGUUUGUUUCGGUGCAUGAUAGGUGCAUGGUUUGCACCUAAUGCACCAUAUGCUAAUAAACCAUUUUGGAUGCACUCAAUGUUACUCCUAGGCAAAGGGGCUUAAGUGGAAGCUCAGUUUGGUUUGUUUGGAGAUAGUGCUAAUCUUGAUGCAAGAUAGGUGCACGGUUUGCAUGGAACGUACCAUAUGCUCAGAAAUCAAUUUGGACGCAACCGAUAGAACUUCUAGAUGACAUGUGUCAUAUGCAAUCUCACUUUACUCUGUUUGGAGAUAGUAUUUGUUUCGGUGCAUGAUAGGUGCACUGUUUGCGCCUAAUGCACCAUACGCUAAGAAACCAUUUUGGAUGCACUCAAUGUUACUCCAAGAUAAAUGGGCUUAAGUGGAAGCUCAGUUUGGUUUGUUUGGAGAUAGUGCUAAUCUUGAUGCAAGAUAGGUGCACGGUUUGCAUGGAACAUACCAUAUACUCGGAAAUCAAUUUGGAUGCACCCGAUGGAACUCCUAGAUGACAUGUGUCAUAUGGAAUCUCGCUUCAGUCUGUCUGGGGAAAGUGUUAGUUUAGAUGCAAGAUAGGUGCACUAUUUGCGCCUAAUGCAACGGAGGCUAAGAAACCAUUUUGCACACACCUAGUGGACACAUAGGUAAAGGCGGUCAAAUGGAAAAUAAGUUUGGUCUGUUUUGAGAAGUGCUAAUCUUGAUGCAAGAUAGGUGCACAGGUUGCGUGGAACAUACCAUAUGCUCGGAAAUCAAUGAAGUGUGUCAUAUGGAAUUUUACUUCCCUCUAUUUGGAGAUAGUGUUAGUUUUGGUGCAAGAUAGGUGCACGGUUUGCCCCUAAUGCACCAUAGGCUAAGAAACCAUUUCAGACACACCUGUUGGUACUUCUAGGUGAAGGGGCUCAAAUGGAAGAUUGGUUUGGUCUGUUUGGAGAUAGGCUAAUCUUGUUGCUAGAUAGGAGCAUGGUUUGUGUGGAACAAAUCUUAUGCUCAGAUUUUAAUGUGGACACCCAAUACUGGAUGAUGUGUGUCAUGUCCAAUCUCACUUCAGUUCGUUUGGAGACAGUGUUUAUUUUGGUGCAAGAUAGAUGCACGGUUUACGCCUAAGGCACCAUAGUCUAACAAAACCAUUUUGGACACACCUAAUGGUACUCCUAGGUGAAGAGGUUCAAGUGGAAGCUUGGUUUGGUUUGUUUGGAGAUAGUGCUAAUCUUGAUGCAAGACAGGUGCACAGUUUGCAUGGACCGUACCAUAUGCUCAGCUAUUAAUUUGGACGCAACCGAUGAAACUCCUAGAUAACGUGUGUCAUAUGCAAACUCACUUCACUCUGUUUGGAGAUAGUGUGAGUUUUCGGUGCAUGAUAAGUGCACGGUAUGCGCCUAAUGCACCAUAGGCCAAGCAACCAUUUUGGAUGCACUCGAUGUUACUCCUAGGUAAAGGGGCUUAAAUGGAAGCUCGGUUUGGUUUGUUUGGAGAUAGUGCUAAUCUUGAUGAAAGAUAGGUGCACGGAUUUGUAUGGAAUGUACCAUAUGCUUGGAAGUCAAUUUGGAAGCAGCUGAUGGAAGUCCAAGAUGACAUGUUUCAUAUGCAAUCUCACUUCGGUCUAUAUAGAGACAGUGUUAGUUUCGGUGCAAGAUAGGUGCACGGUUUGCACCUAAUGUAUCAUAGGCUAAGAAACCAGUUUGGAUGCACCCGAUAGAAGUCCUAGAUGACGUGUGUCAUAUGGAAUCUUGCUUCGGUCUAUUUGGAGACAGUGUUAGUUUUGGUGCAAGAUAGGUGCACGGUUUGCACCUAAUGCAUCAUAGGCUAAGAAACCAGUUUGGAUGCACCCGAUGGUACUCCUAGGUAAAUGGGCUCAUGUGGAAGCUCGAUUUGGUCUGUUUAGAGAUAGUGCUAAUCUUGAUGCAAGAUAGGGGCACCGUUUUCAUGGAACAUACCAUAUGCUCGAAAAUUAAUUUGGAUGCACCCGAUAGAACUCCUUGAUGACGUGUGUCAUAUGGAAUCUUGCUUCGGUCUAUUUGGAGACAGUGUUAGUUUUGGUGCAAGAUAGGUGCACGGUUUGCACCUAAUGCAUCAUAGGCUAAGAAACCAGUUUGGAUGCACCCGAUGGUACUCCUAGGUAAAUGGGCUCAUGUGCAAUCUCGCUUUAGUCUGUUUGGAGACAGUGUUUGUCUCGGUGCAAGAUAGAUGCACGGGUUGUGCCUAAGGCACCAUAGUCUAACAAAACCAUUUUGGACACACCUAAUGGUACUCCUAGGUGAAGAGGCUCAAGUGGAAGCUCGGUUUCGUUUGUUUGGAGAUAGUGCUAAUCUUGAUGCAAGAUAGGUGCACGGUUUGCAUGGACCAUACCGUAUGCUCAGAAAUUAAGUUGGACGCAACCGAUGAAACUCCUAGAUAACGUGUGUCAUAUGCAAUCUCACUUCAGUCUGUUUGGAGACAGUAUUAGUUUUGGUGCAUGAUAGGUGCACGGUAUGCACCUAAUGCACCAUAGGCUAAGAAACCAUUUUGGAUGCACUCGAUGUUACUCCUAGGUAAAGGGGCUUAAAUGGAAGCUCGGUUUGGUUUGUUUGGAGAUAGUGCUAAUCUUGAUGAAAGAUAGGUGCACGGAUUUGUAUGGAAUGUACCAUAUGCUUGGAAGUCAAUUUGGAAGCAGCUGAUGGAAGUCCAAGAUGACAUGUUUCAUAUGCAAUCUCACUUCGGUCUAUAUAGAGACAGUGUUAGUUUCGGUGCAAGAUAGGUGCACGGUUUGCACCUAAUGUAUCAUAGGCUAAGAAACCAGUUUGGAUGCACCCGAUAGAAGUCCUAGAUGACGUGUGUCAUAUGGAAUCUUGCUUCGGUCUAUUUGGAGACAGUGUUAGUUUUGGUGCAAGAUAGGUGCACGGUUUGCACCUAAUGCAUCAUAGGCUAAGAAACCAGUUUGGAUGCACCCGAUGGUACUCCUAGGUAAAUGGGCUCAUGUGGAAGCUCGAUUUGGUCUGUUUAGAGAUAGUGCUAAUCUUGAUGCAAGAUAGGGGCACCGUUUUCAUGGAACAUACCAUAUGCUCGAAAAUUAAUUUGGAUGCACCCGAUAGAACUCCUUGAUGACGUGUGUCAUAUGGAAUCUUGCUUCGGUCUAUUUGGAGACAGCGUUAUUUUCGGUGCAAGAUAGGUGCACGGUUUGCACCUAAUGCACCAUAGACUCAGAAACCAUUGUGGAAGCACCGGAUGAUACUCCUAGGUGAAGAGGCUCAAGUGGAAGCUCGGUUUGGUUUGUUUAGAGAUAGUGCUAAUCUUGAUGCAAGAUAGGUGCACGGUUUGCAUGGAACAUAUCAUAUGCUCGGAAAUCAACUUGGACGCACCUGAUGGAACUCCUAGAUGACGUGUCAUAUGGAAUCUUGCUUCGGUCUAUUUGGAGAAAGUGUUAGUUUCGGUGCAAGAUAGGUGCACGGAUUGUGCCUAAUGCACCGAAGACUAAGAAACCAUUUUGGUCACACCUGAUGGACACAUAGGUAAAGAGGCUCAAGUGGAAAAUUGGUUUGGUCUGUUUUGAGAAGUGUUAAUCUUGAUGCAAGAUAGGUUCACAGGUUGCGUGGAACGUACCAUAUCCUCGGAAAUCAAUUUGGAUGCACCCGACGGAACUAGAUGACGUGUGUCAUAUGGAAUUUUACUUUGCUCCAUUUGGAGAUAGUGUUAGUUUUGGUGCAAGAUAGGUGCAUGGUUUGCACCUAAUGCACCAUAGGCUAAGAAAGCAUUUCAGAUACACCUGAAGGUACUACCAGGUGAAGGGGCUCAAAUGGAAGAUCGGUUUGGUCUGUUUGGAGAUAGUGCCAAUCUUGACACAAGAUAGGAGCAUGGUUUGUGUGGAACAUAGCAUAUGCUCAGAUAUUAAUUUGGACACCCAAUACUAGAUGAUGUGUGUCAUGUGCAAUCUCGCUUUGGUCCGUUUGGAGACAGUGUUAGUUUCGGUGCAAGAUAGAUGCACAAUUUGUGCCUAAUGAACCAAAGUCUAACAAAACCAUUUUGGACACACAUGAUGGUACUCCUAGGUGAAGAGGCUCAAAUGGAAGCUCAGUUUGGUCUGUUUGGAGAUAGUGCUAAUCUUGAUGCAAGAUAGGUGCAUAGUUUGCAUGGAAUGUAGCAUAUGCUCAGAAAUCAAUUUGGACGCAACCGAUAGAAAUCCUAGAUGACGUGUGUCAUAUGCAAUCUCACUUCAGUCUAUUUGGAGACAGUGUUUGUUUCGGUGCAUGAUAGGUGCACAGUUUGCGCCUAAUAGACCAUAGGCUAAGAAACCAUUUUGGAUGCACUCAAUAUUACUCCUAGGUAAAGGGGCUUAAGUGGAAGCUCAGUUUGGUUCGUUUGGAGAUAGUGCUAAUCCUGAUGCAAGAUAGGUGCACGGUUUGCACGGAACGUACUAUAUACUCGGAAAUCAAUUUGGAUGCACCCGAUGGAACUCCUAGAUGACAUGUGUCAUAUGGAAUCUCGCUUCGGUCUGUUUGGAGAAAGUGCUAGUUUCGCUGCAAGAUAGGUGCACGGUUUGCGCCUAAUGCAACGGAGGCUAAGAAACCAUUUUGGACACACCUGAUGGACACGUAGGUAAAGGCGCUCAAAUGGAAAAAUAGGUUUGGUCUUUUUUGAGAAGUGUUAAUCUUGAUGCAAGAUAGGUGCACAGGUUGCGUGGAACGUACCAUAUGUUCGGAAAUCAAUUUGGAUGCACCCAAUGGAACUAGAUGACAUGUUCCAUAUGGAAUUUUACUUCCCUCCAUUUGGAGAUAGUGUUAGUUUUGGUGCAAGAUAGGUGCACGGUUUGCGCCUAAUGCACCAUAGGCUAAGAAUCCAUUUCGAACACAACUGUUGGUACUCGUAGGUGAAGGGGCUCAAAUGGAAGAUUGGUUUGGUCUGUUUGGAGAUAGUGCUAAUCUUGACGCUAGAUUGGAGCAUGGUUUGUGUGGAAAAUACCGUAUGCUUAGAUAUUAAUUCUGACACCCAAUACUGGAUGAUGUGUGUCAUAUGCAAUCUCGCUUCGGUCCAUUUGGAGACAGUGUUUGUUUCGGUGCAAGAUAGAUGCACGGUUUAUGCCUAAGGCACCAUAGUCUAACAAAACCAUUUUGGACACACCUAAUGGUACUCCUAGGUGAAGAGGCUCAAGUGGAAGCUUGGUUUGGUUUGUUUGGAGAUAGUUCUAAUCUUGAUGCAAGAUAGGUGCACUGUUUGCAUGGACCGUACCCUAUGCUCAGAAAUCAAUUUGGACGCAACUGAUGAAACUCCUAGAUAACGUGUGUCGUAUGCAAUCUCACUUCAGUCUGUUUGGAGACAGUGUUAGUCUCGAUGCAUGAUAGGUGCACGGUAUGCGCCUAAUGCACCAUAUGCUAAGAAACCAUUUUGGAUGCACUCAAUGUUACUCCUAGGGAAAGGGGCUUAAAUGGAAGCUCGGUUUGGUUCGUUUGGAGAUAGUGCUAAUCUUGAUGAAAGAUAGGUGCACGGUUUUGCAUGGAAUGUACCAUAUGCUUGGAAGUAAAUUUAGAUGCACCUGAUGGAACUCCUAGAUGACGUGUGUCAUAUGGAAUCUCACUUCGGUCUAUUUGGAGACUGUUAGUUUUGAUGCAAGAUAGGUGCACGGUUUGCACCUAAUGCAUCUAUUGGUACCCCUUAUCAUAUAAUUAUAAACAUCAUUUUAAUAAGUAAAAUAAAUAGAUGGUAGGGCUUUUAACUAACCUUUCCACAAGUUUUGUUGUGAAUGGGAAUUUCAGGAAUGACACAUGGAAAGGUGCAAAAGACACGAGAAAGCGCAAUUCGAGAAAGCGUAUUCAGAAAAGGCACAAAUCAAGAUAAAAUGGAAAAGCCCACCAAAACACCGAACCAAAUCCAUCCGCCAAAGUGGGGGGUGCGGCCGCACCACUAGUGGCCCCCCUGGCCACACCCUUCAGGAGGAACGUGCGAGGCGGUUUCCUAAGGACGGUUCCACCUACGAUCAACGCAGAUGGAAAGUGGAAACCGCCCUUGGAGGUCGGUUUUCGACCUUUCGAUGUAGGGAUCGCCCUUUUUGCAUAUAGCCCCCUCCUCUUGGGCUAUAAAAGAGAGGGAGAGUACCCCCCAUAACACACACCAUCAUUUGGAGCCUCUCACCUCACAUUCCUCUUGUAUUCUUUAGAUUAGUUUUAGUGGUAGAGCAAGGCAAGAGCUAGCAAGUAGAACUUGUUUCUUUGGAAGAAGAAGAACACCUCGGUAUGAAUACAAUAUAGUUCUCUUUCAUGUUCAAGUUCUUAUCUUAUUUAUAUAGCAAUGCAUAUGAACUAGAGUAUAGUCUUGUUCAUGUUAUGAUCAUGAUAUAUGAACUAGCAUAUAGUUUAUGUGUUAUGUUCUUGACAUGUUCAUCAUUGUUCUUAAUCAUUCAUCAAGUUAGUAUGAAUAGAGGAAGAACUAGGGAUGAGAUGACGGUUCGUUGGGCUGUGGUGGCUGCUCCUAACUUAGCCUGUCACUCUGAACGAGUGAGGUCCAUGGGGUUUAGGAGUUGUUUCCAAUUACACGGGCGUGGUGCUCGGGUAUGCGGAGAUCAGCGGAUAUGCGGGUAUCUUUCGGGCAGAGGGGUAGGUGGCAGCGUAGUGACAGCCCUGUCCAUCCUUUGUAAUCCCCCACGAUCAGGUAUUCCGGUAGGAGUUCUGUAAAGUCUCUAUCGGCUAGGAUGUCCAACUGCGGGGAUCUCCCUGUCAUCCCAGAUUUGGUUCUGAUGCUAGACAUGAUAGUUAGAUGUUUACUAACAGUUCUUUGCAUAGCUAUAUACGACCAAUGCCUGCUCAGUUAGAUAUAUUCUUUUCUUUAUUUUAUCUUUUAUCCUUGAGGUUGGCUCAGAUGUGUGUCCACUAUCCUUGAACUAUGAUUUACCCCUGUCUAUGCUAUGUUUACCUAUGCAUUCAAUAAGUAAUCAUGUUUAUACCAAAGCUAGAUGCAUUCGUCCUGCCUUCCUACGGAAAUUAUAAAUAACGAUACCCACUCACGGGUUGAAAUGCUACAAUGAUAGUUUCGUGCGCUUGUGGAUUUAUCCUUAUUGAACUAUCGAUUGGUGUACCUAAGUACCGUUACUUAAGAUUGUAAUCCUCAUGUAUGCCCCAACAGCGCCGUGCAACAGUAUUGCAUAUCGCAAGUAAGGAUGGUUAGGAAGGCCGAUCUGGAUGUUCUAAUCAUCAGUACCAGACUGCAUUACUUAGGCCAGAGUCGUACAGAUCGAGAGUUACCUUUCUAACAUAAUGGUGGUUAGGAAUGUCAAUCUCGACAUUUCUGGUGUCGUUGCUAAGGAUAGAUUUAUAGUCUAUCUUUAGUAGUGACACUAAGAAAUGCCAACAAGCAUUUCUGGCACCGUUGCCGGCGAAGGCAAAAGGAAAUAAAAACAUCUAGCUUGGCAAUAAACAUUGAUUAGCAAAUGGUAACCAUAGUUUAGGCAGGUUAACUUCGCUUGUUUUCUUCCUCUUUUUAUUGGAAAGAAAAUAGGAUAGUGUAUGAAUGGCUUGACCUGUCGAACAACUUCAUCAACAAUCCGUUGGCACUCCUAAGGAAGAACAGGUCCCGGACCGCUUCUUCUUCUGCUACUCCACUGACAAACAAACCAUUCGCCCUUGCAUCAUCCAAUACGAUCAUCAUGGCCAAGUCACUCCGCGAUUACUCAACCCCUACUAUUGCUAACAUGCCCGUUGGGCCCGUGUCAAUAUUGGGAAUGGAAACUUCAAGCUCCGUACUGGCCUCAUCAAGAUGAUACAGGCAAGCCAGUUCCAUGGCUUGCCACAUGAGGACGCAAAUGCUCAUCUUCAACACUUCCUUGAGUUGUGCGACACCAUCAUCAUCAAAGACGUCGCAUCAACUAGCAUCAAGUUUUGCCUAUUUCCUUUCUCCCUUGUGGGGAAAGUGAAACAAUGGUUCUACAAGAGCAAGGUAGCUGUCAACACAUGGGACAAAUGUUCCACAGCGUUCCUCGUCAAGUUCUUCCCCUUGAGCAAAACCAGUGCUCUAAGGAGGGAGAUAUCCAACUUCGAGCAAACAUCACUCGAGUCCAUCCCUGAAGCAUGGGAAAGGCUACAGGACCUUGUCUGAGCCUGUCCCCACCAUGGAAUGAAAGAUUGGCUUGUGCUCCAGAACUUUUAUGAGGGCCUCACAACCAUAUCAAUGGAGCACCUUAACGCCACAACUGGAGGGGCAUUCCUCUCCCUCACCAUCAAGAAUGGCACCACACUCAUCAAAAAGAUUGUGGCAAACCAAAGUUGGGGAGAAGGAAGAGAAACACAAGACGGCAUGCAUUCCGUGAAGGAGACAGGAUUGCUUGCUGCAAAAGUAGACCUCCGAAUAAAGAGGUUGGACGACCAUGCCACCAAGCUCACAAAAGGCACCGUCCAAACCAUGGGCUCACACAUGAAGUGUGAAGUCUGUGGAGAUGUUGGCCAUUUGGGGAACAACUGUCCCAAAACUCAGGAAGAAACAUCCUACAUCAACGAUGGGUUUCGCCAACAUCAGCAACCAGGUAAUAAUGGGUGGAACAAUCAUAACCACCCACAAGGUAAUUCUUCCAACUUCAAUACAAAUUACGAUUUCAAUCAUCUUUCCUUGAGAAGCUUCGUUUUAGAGCAACCUGAGUUUAAUGCAUAUCUUGCUAAAAACUUUCCUUCAAUGAUAGAAUGUUUGAAUCUAAAAAUGCUAAGCUUGAAACUCUGUCUUCUUUUGUUGAACGUCGGCUGAGUUUCAAUAAAAUGAUAAAAACCUAGUUGCUCAAAUUGUUGUUUCAUUUCCUGUCAACAAUACGGGAAAUAUCUUGGGGCAACCCAAGGUUUCUUCCAAGUUUGUUCAUGUAGCUGCAGAGCAAUGAAGAGGAGGAAGUCCUGCCAACAGACUAUAAAUGUUGAUCCCUUGCCUAAGGUCAUCGGUAGUUAUCUAAAAAAACAACUAGCUCAAUUUGCCUCUUGCAUAUGUUUUUCAAUGCGGUAAUCAUGAGCGAAGGUAAGAUCCCUUGUGAUCUACCAGAUCAUAACCAUGCAGGAGAAAUUAGAAGCACGGGGUACAACCCUGACCCUUUCGCAUUGAAGCUAGCUUGGGAGGAGCGCACAACAACGUAAGAUGUAUCUAUGAUUCCAUAUCAUUAUGUUGCCUUGCAAAAAAAUGAUAAUAAAAUAAAUAUUAAAAAAAUAAUAAUAACUUUCCUUUUCAAUAAAUGCAAGGACAUGUUAUCAUGAAGUACGCACCUUUGGGUAUUCUUGUUACUAACUCUUUCAGGUUAAGAUCAAGAAUUGUCAUACACAACUUGAGAACAUGUAGCAACAUCAACAACAAACCAUGUUGCUCUUGAGGAGUGGGACACACUCACAAGGAGACCCUGACCCAAUCCACUUGACUUUAUUACAAAAGUUCAAGUGUGGGGGAAGACGGUGAGACUCCCAACUCCCACUCGCACCAAGGGUCAUUCAUGACAAUGAAUGAUAGUCAAUGUUGCCUUGCUAAAAAAAGAGAUGCAUCGAAGUUAAAAAAAGAGAAAAAAAGAGAUGCAUCGAAGUUAAAAAAAGAGAAAAAAAAAAGAGAUGCGUCGAAAUAUAUAUAUAUUAAAAAAAGGGGAGUUUACUCCUAUACACCUUGUUGCUACCAAUAAGGCCAAAGGUCCACAUACACUAGUUGUGUGUGAUCCGACCUGAUGGUUCACCUGAGUGGGAGCAUGCACGACCACGCCACCGAUGCAACAUCUUCAAAAGAAAUCCACCUAUGCUGCCAGUAAGAGCACUUAGGUAUGCAAAAGAUAAUAAAUGUUCACCAACACUUUAGCUCAUAUUUGUCCCUACAUGAUCAUUCAAAUUCUUGCUUCCCUAUUUAUGACUUUUACUCUAAGUUUGGGUGUACCUACUUGAGUGCUCAUGUAGUACAUUCGUAGGCCUUUUCAAAUUAAGCAUGGUGCUUAGGUUGAAAUUGCCUUCUUUAGUCAAGUUUUGACAUGGUGUUGAAAUUUGAUUAAUGAAAUUCGAGUGUUUUCAUAAACAAUGGUAGUAAUCUAAUCUUGAGAUAAAUCUUGGCUUUGUUUCCAUUGCUUUGUUUAUCCUAAGCCUUAUUUAAGCUCUAAAGGUUGGUUGAGCUAGUUUCAAAAAAAUAGAUUUUUUUUUAAAAUUUUGUUUCCUUGACCUUUUAACCAAUAAGUCUCUUGCCUGUUGUAGCGUUUUGUUUUCUUUUCUUUGUUAUACUAAAAACAGGUACAAAAAUAAGUGUGGGGGAGAUCUCUCGAGCAUAACUCAAAACAAACUCGAGAUCUCCCCAACACGUUGCACAAACAUCGAGCUCAUCAUGCAGAAGGACAAGAUAAAUGACUUCCAUCAAGGCCUUCAUCUUCAACGCUGGUUUGUGCAACUGUACCCUUGCUUAAAAAAAUAAAUAAAUAAAAUCUUUGUUUAUCUUGUGCACUUGUUUUCUUGAUAUAUUUUCGUGACUAACCAAGACAGGAAAGAAAACAAGUGUGGGGGAAGGACUCUUCAAUUCAACUGCAUUUCGGUUUGUGCAUUUUUCUCCCCCUUUCACAAGUCAAAAAUAUUUUUCAAAAGAAAAAGUUUAAAUGAUGUACCCUUCAUACUCCAUCAAACAUGUCUCCUAUGUUCAAAUAAGUUUUUGCAUACUUUUUAUUCUUAGCUAAUAUCCCUAGAGGUUUAUGAACACUGUUUAUAGGGACCCCAUUUUAUCUAAGUAAUUGACGUAUGUGAUAUAGUAGGAUGACAUGAUGCUUGCUAGUUUUUGCAAAGUACUUGGGAUUUCUUUUACAAAAAAAAUUCAAUGGCACAUUUCUUGAAUGAUCAAGCUUUAUUCCUACCAUAGCCAAAUAUUUACUCUUCAUGAUGAAACCUUCUACAUAUGCUGCUUACUCUGUGUUGAGUUUGGUCAAAUUUUUGGACCGCUGUCGAGAGAUGUUUCAUGCCUCCAAGAUUAGAAUUCACUUGCACCCACCAAAUAAAGCUGACUCUCACACUGAGAAGUCGUGCACAACAUGCUUUUUCCAUCCACCCAAAAAUACGCCAACUCUUACACUGAGAGUUGCGCCCAUAUAUCCACCAAAUAAAAAUGCCAAUGUCUCACCUUGAGAAUUGCACAUUCAGUUACAUUCCUUGCAUUUGUUAUAAUAAAGCUCUCUUUCAUUUUCGCUAAAAGCAGAGGAAUGGCUAUAGUAAAAAAAAUAUUGUUAUAUUAUAGCCCAUGUCCUUCAAAGUUUUCCGUCUCAUUCAAAAGAGAGUCAUGAUGCAAGGAGUGCCCCAAAAAAAUAUAAAGUAGUGAUAGGUUUCCACCAAAAAUUCCACACACUUGCACAUUCUGAUCUAAGGGUAUGACGCACUCCCUCCGGUAUGGUCCUGGGUUUGACUCGACAACAUAUGCAGGGUAAGUAAGUUCCACUACUAUCAUACCUACCCAAAACUCCAGAUAAGCCUUUUAGAGGUAGGAUAAUCAAAAAGAAGGCAUCAACCCUCUAUGCCUUGGUAAGGAACCACUCACAUAUGUGAGUGACUUGAGAGCAUCAUUCAAGAAACAUAUGCUAUCUUUCUUUUUCAAAAUCAUGCAAAACGCCAAGUUUCUACGCAAGGACUGUGUAAGAGGAUUUGAAUCCAGGCUAUUCCAUGUUUCAAUUACCCAAGAUAGCUUGGUAGACACUUUGAAGUUCAUAAAUCCAGGUGAAGCUUGGAAUAACCUGUAUGCAGAUUCUUUUGACAAGGAAGAUGAACCCAUUUGGUCCUUAGUUCCUUCACUCGAGGACGAGCAAAGGACCAAGUGUGGGGGAGUUGUUGGUACCCCUUAUCCUAUAAUUAUAAACAUCAUUUUAAUAAGUAAAAUAAAUAGAUGGUAGAGCUUUUAACUAACCUUUCCACAAGUUUUGUUGUGAAUGUCAAUUUUAGGAAUGACACAUGGAAAGGUGCAAAAGACAUGAGAAAGCGCAAUUCGAGAAAGCAUAUUCAGAAAAGGCACAAAUCAAGAUAAAAUGGGAAAGCCCACCAAAACACCGAACCAAAUCCAUCCGUAACCACGGGGGAAGUCUAGGCCCAGAGCAGAGCCCACCACCAGAAGGCGGUUGGCAAACGCCACCGUGGGGGGUGGUGCGGCCGCACCACUGGUGGGCCCUCCUGGCCACAGCCUUCUAGAGGAACGUGUGAGGUGGUUUCCUAAGGACGGUUCCACCUACGAUCAAUGCAGAUGGAAAGUGGAAACCGCCCUUGGAGGUCGAUUUUGGACCUUUCUAUGUAGGGAUCGCCCUUUUUGCAUAGAGCCCCCUCCUCUUGGGCUAUAAAAGAGAGGGAGAGCGCCCCCCCAUAGCACACACCAUCAUUUGGAGCCUCUCUGUCACACCCUGUCUUUUAAAAUAAGACCAGAGUCGUCAUAUGUGUGCCCAGGAAGUCCACACAUAUAACAAAAGAAUAGAAAUAUCAGAAUCAAUGUUAUAUAUAGCGGAAAACAUAUUUAUAAUAACACUUACAAAACAUCAGAGUACGCGGAAACAGUAGCUAGAACUUCUUAGGCUCCAUUCUUCUCAGAGACGAUUGACUGGGGGCUCCGUACGCCAAGCACUUCUGAUAAGCUUCUAAAAAACUCCAUAGCAUCUUUGUUCUUCUUCUGAGCAGCACUUUACUACACACUGGGGGUGUGGGGGGGAAAUAGCAUGGGUGAGUUCAUGUCGAACUCAGCAAGCACAGACAGAAAGUAAUGACAUGCAAGGCUUAAAACAAGGUAAAGCUGACUUGGUUUGACUGCAGUAGCAUUUUAGUUGAUCACUUUUAAUUAUGACUAUUGUUAGAACAACGUAUUACUAAUUAUGAGUAGCAUAACCCAACCCUUAAUUAGUGUAAGUAGAAAUUAGCAUCUUUUUAAUGACUAUCCUAAUAAUUAUAGAGGUCCAGGGAUUAACCCCAAUUAUUAACACAGGAUAGCAAUCCUGCCAACACAGAAUAGCCAUUCCGCCAAAACACGAGGUAGCAACCUCGCCAAGUUCCAUCUCCAAGUAUCCAGUGAAUCCAAUUUGCUCAUCAAGUGAGGGUCUGGGCCACUCGUGACCGUGAGCACAGCUGAUAUAUCAGUUUUACACUCUGCAGAGGUGUGCACGUUCACUCCAAGUCAUGAUUCCCAUUUGCCCGGGGUCAUGACUCCCCAAAACAUUGCCAAGGUGAGUAGGCAGGGUCUCACUACGAGACCUUUCACAGGGUCCAACUAAUAGGAUGCCACUCGUAAGUUUUUGCCGGGGCGCUCGGCAGUCGAUACCCAUAUCCAUGGCGUACCGAGCAACCGACGUCUUAAUAUACAUUACCCAAGUUACUUCCUCACGCCUACUCGGAAAGUAACACCCUACUAGUGGAGGUCCUGCUAAUAAGUCAAGCCAGAGCCAUAUAGCUUGGAGGUGCACUGUAUGUCCCAGGGGGCCGCUCCCUGACUAAGUCCUUACGGAGAGGAGAGACAGGUACGCCCGGCAAACCAGACCACCAACAGUACCCGCUCCCCCUGUCACCACCAUCAUCACGAUGCUCGUAAGCAUCCAACAUCGCCAUCACCGCAGUGACCAAAGGUUCAGCACAGUUUAAGCAUCAAGUUAAGUAGAGAGUAAUUCUUGUUUAAGCAUGUGUAUAAGAUGAGUAGAGCAGCUAAGCAAACCUAGUAUAGCCUAGACUACCCAUAACAUAACCCCAGGUGAACAAGGAAUGGUAAGUAAAGCUAGUCAUGUCCUUAGGGUUUGCAUUCAUUGGACACAUGCAUGUAAAGUAAAUGACAUUGAUGAGUAGGUUCAAAAUGAUCAAACGGUGUCUGCACUUGCCUUUAUUCCCAGUGUAUAUCUGCUCAGAAUUCUUUAGCUUCUUUCUUCUGAUCUCGAACUUCCGCUUCGGUCGUCGGUCCUUAGCUCCUGAUCUUCACUGUUGACGAACCACGCUUCUUCUACGUGUAGCAACCAAGCAACACAAACAGACAAACAAAUAAUCACGACUAAGAACAAACAACAAUCAAAAGAAAAGCUUUGAAAAGAAGAGCGCAAUAAACGACACGACUUACUGCUACGAUCGUGACAACGCAAAAACGAUUGAGAAUGGAGCUAUCGUUAAAUAGACACGAUUAUCGAGGAUCGAAGUGUAACGGAGAAGAUGACUAUACGCUGGUCGUAUUUUAUUUAUAAAUAAUUAUAUACCACUGAAGCCAAUUAAGCAUUUAUAGUUUUUAAAAUAUAGAAUAUAUGAAAGCAACUAAUCAAGUGAUUAUAUAUCAUGUUUAAACUAAUCAAGUUAUAAUUAAUAAAGAAACAUUAAGGUUGAUAUUAAUAACAUCGGCAUUUAUUUAUUUACAAAAGAUCAAAAUUAUAAACCUAAGUUACUUUUAAUCAAAAAGUCAUUAAAUAAAUAUUAAACAAAAUAAUUAUAUAAUUUAUGUUUAACUCAAAGAAUCACAGUUAAUAAAUACUUAGGUUAACAUUAACAAAGUUGAUAUUAGAUUAUAAAAGAAAAUACCAAAGUGUAAACCUAAAUUGUUCUUUGUAGAUUAAAAGGACAUUUAGUUAGACAUUAAUUAUUUUGUAUUUAUGGUGAAAAUCUAAACGGUCAAACGAGGUAACUACUACUGCUAAAGCGUAGUUUACGACGAUAAGAAACUAACGCGACAAGAACGGGCUCAAUUGGAGUUAAAACGCAGAUUCUAUGGCCAAAACUAGGUCAGUGGCAAAAUUGUGAAUAAACAGAACUAUUUUUCAUAAUUUAAAUAAAUAAAACUGAAUUUUAAAAGCAUUUUGGACUAAAUAAAUAAAUACUAACGGCGCCAGGGGCUAAACUGCUAGAAGCAGGACUUAAAUCUAAUUCUUUUUGAACUGGGUUGGACUGCGGGUUAAAAACUAUAAAGGCCGAGGGCCUUUCUGCAAAAGGGCCAGAGGCGGCGCGGGAUGUGGUCGGCUGACCGGCCACGUGGCGGCGUGCGAGGGGCCUGGUCUACGGGCCGUGCUGUGGACCGAGGCGCGGGCGGUGGACCGCGGCCGGGACCGAGAGGGCGCGCACGACGACGACGUGGUCCGCGUCGGCGGCUCGCCGGAGUAGGGUGGUGCUUCUGCUACGGGGCUCGGCUGGUGAAGAGGAGGGCACGGGGAGAUAGAGUUCGGCGUUGCGGACUCGAUGCGAGGCUCGAGGCGGUGACGGUUGGCCCAGACGACGCUGCGCGCGAUGGCGCCAUGGAUGGCGGCCGCGAACUCGUCGGAGUUCGGCCAGAGGGCGCUACAGGGGGGCAAAAAGCUAAGGCGAGGGUACGGGAGAGUUCCUCACCUCCUUGCGAACCUCAGGGUGGCGUUCUUGUCGACGGAGAUGUAGAGGAGGCGGAGAACGACGUUGGCGGAACCUCGGCUCCGCGGCUAUGGCGACGACAAGGUGCGGCUCGGGCUUAGGGCGGAGGCAGCGGUGCCCUAGGGUUAGGCGGGCGUGCGGCGCACAGGGCUAAGCCCUUUUUAUGGGCGCGGGGCAUCCUCGGGGUGCGCGCUCGGGGCUCGAAUCGACGGCGGCAGUGCUCCCCGUGCGAUGCGGGAGGUAGGGGAUGACCCCUCCCCGCUGACGCGUGGGGCCGGGGCGUCAGCGGCUCGGGCACGGGCGGGCAGGUGGGGCCCGCCUGGCAGUGGCUGCGCGCAGGGAGAAGGGGAAGGUGGGCUUGCGCGCUGUCGCUGGGCCGAGGCCCAAGUGGGAGGCGGGAGCAGGUCAUGGCUCGGAGCUGGGCCGAAGAAGAGGGGGUGGGGGCAGCCUAGAGAGAAAGGAAACCCUUUUUCUUUUUAUAAAAAAAAUGAUUUCUAAACUACUUUACUAAACCAAUUCCAAAACCCUUUUUAAUUCCUAAUUUGAGAUUAUUUAAGAGCACUGCUUGCGACUGACCAUGCAGGUAAUGAAGAUCAAAUAGAAGAACAUAUUAAUGCAGGUGAAGCGGACCACUAUGAGAGCUUGAUCGUGCAGCGAGUGCUUAGUGCAGAAAUGGAGAUGGCGGAGCAAAAUCAGCGACACAUUUUAUUCCAAACAAAGUGUGUCAUCAAAGAGCGUUCUUGUUGCAUGAUCAUGGAUGGAGGUAGCUGCAACAACUUGGCAAGCAGCGAUAUGGUGCAGAAGCUUGCCCUCAACACCAAACCACACCCGCAUCCCUACUACAUCCAAUGGCUGAACAACAGUGGUAAGGCAAAGGUAACUAGACUUGUGAGAAUUAAUUUUUCCAUCGGAUCCUACAAAGAUAUUGUUGAAUGUGAUGUUGUGCAUAUGCAAGCUUGUAACAUUCUGCUAGGUAGACCUUGGCAAUUUGAUAGAGAUUCUAUGCAUCAUGGUAGAUCAAAUCAGUAUUCUUUUCUAUACCAUGAUCGCAAAAUUGUGUUGCAUCCUAUGUCCCCUGAAACUAUUAUGCAAACUGAUGUUGCUAGGGCUACUAAAGCAAAGAGUGAGAGCAAUAAAAAUGAUAAAUCUGUAAUUGGUAACAAAGAUGAGAUAAAACUGAAAGGACGUUGUAUGAUAGCUACCAAAUUAGAUAUUAAUGAGUUCAAUGCAUCCACUUCUGUUGCUUAUGCUUUGAUAUGCAAGGAUGCUUUGAUUUCAAUUGAGGAUAUGCAAUGUUCUUUGCCUCCUGCUGUUGCUAACGUUUUGCAGGAGUAUUCUGAUGUGUUUCCAAGUGAGGUACCAGCGGGGCUGCCUCCACUACGCGGGAUUGAGCACCCAAUUGAUCUUAUUCCUGGAGCAGUUUUGCCAAAUCGUGCACCAUACAGGACAAACCCGGAGGAAACAAAGGAAAUUCAGCGACAAGUGCAAGAACUACUAGACAAAGGUUAUGUCCGAGAAUCUCUUAGUCCUUGUGCUGUUCCAGUAAUUUUAGUGCCUAAGAAAGAUGGAACAUGGCGUAUGUGUGUUGAUUGUAGAGCUAUUAAUAAUAUCACCAUUCGAUAUCGACACCCUAUUCCACGAUUAGAUGAUAUGCUAGAUGAACUGAGUGGUGCUGUUGUGUUUUCAAAAGUUGAUUUACGUAGUGGGUACCACCAGAUUCGUAUGAAAUUGGGAGAUGAAUGGAAAACUGCUUUCAAAACUAAGUUCGGUUUGUAUGAGUGGUUAAUCAUGCCUUUUGGGUUAACUAAUGCACCUAGUACUUUCAUGAGAUUAAUGAACGAGGUUUUGCAUGCUUUCAUUGGGAAAUUUGUUGUCGUAUAUUUUGAUGACAUAUUGAUUUACAACAAAUCAUUGGAUGAACUUCUUGAUCAUUUACGUGCUGUUUUUAAUGCACUACGCGAGGCACGUUUAUUUGGUAACCUUGAGAAGUGCACCUUUUGCACCGAUCGAGUGUCUUUUCUUGGUUAUGUUGUGACUCCACAGGGAAUUGAGGUUGAUCAAGCCAAGGUGGAAGCUAUACAGGGAUGGCAUGUCCCAAAUACUAUCACCCAGGUGCGGAGUUUCCUAGGACUUGCUGGAUUCUAUCGCCGUUUUGUGAAGGAUUUCAGCACCAUUGUUGCACCAUUGAAUGAGCUUACAAAGAAGGGGGUGCCUUUUGAUUGGGGCAAAGCACAAGAGAAUUCAUUCAACAUGUUGAAAGAUAAGUUAACUCAUGCACCUCUCCUACAACUUCCUGAUUUUAAUAAGACUUUUGAGCUUGAAUGUGAUGCUAGUGGAAUUGGUUUGGGAGGUGUUUUAUUACAAGAGGGAAAACCUAUUGCAUAUUUUAGUGAGAAAUUGAGUGGGCCUGUUCUCAAUUAUUCAACUUAUGAUAAAGAACUCUAUGCUCUUGUUAGAACAUUAGAGACAUGGCAGUAUUAUUUGUGGCCCAAAGAGUUUAUUAUCCAUUCUGAUCAUGAAUCUUUGAAACAUAUUCGUAGUCAAGGAAAACUGAAUCGUAAGCAUGCAAAAUGGGUUGAAUUUAUUGAAUCUUUUCCUUAUACUAUUAAGCACAAGAAAGGGAAGGAAAAUAUUAUUGCUGAUGCUUUAUCACGGAGAUAUACUUUGCUGAAUCAACUUGAUUACAAGAUAUUUGGGUUAGAAACAAUUAAAGACCAAUAUGUUCAUGAUGCUGAUUUUAGAGACGUGUUGCUGCAUUGUAAAGAUGGAAAAGGGUGGAAUAAAUUCAUCGUUAGUGAUGGGUUUGUGUUUAGAGCUAACAAGCUAUGCAUUCCAGCUAGCUCUGUUCGUUUGUUGUUGUUGCAGGAAGCGCAUGGAGGUGGCUUGAUGGGACAUUUUGGAGCCAAGAAGACCGAGGACAUACUUGCUGGUCAUUUCUUUUGGCCAAGGAUGAAGAGAGAUGUGGAGAGGUUUGUUGCUCGUUGCACAACAUGUCAAAAGGCAAAGUCACGGUUAAAUCCCCACGGUUUGUAUUUACCUCUUCCUGUUCCUAAUGCUCCUUGGGAGGAUAUAUCUAUGGAUUUUGUGUUGGGACUACCAAGGACUAGGAGGGGACGUGAUAGUGUGUUUGUGGUUGUUGAUAGAUUUUCUAAGAUGGCACAUUUCAUACCAUGUCAUAAAACUGAUGAUGCUACAAAUAUUGCUGAUUUGUUCUUUUGAGAAAUUGUUCGCUUACAUGGUGCGCCCAACACAAUUGUUUCUGAUCGUGAUGCUAAAUUUCUUAGUCAUUUUUGGAAGACUUUGUGGUUCAAAUUGGGGACUAAGCUUUUAUUUUCCACCACUUGUCUUCCCCAAACUGAUGGUCAAACUGAAGUUGUUAAUAGAACUUUAUCCACUAUGUUAAGGGCUGUUUUAAAGAAGAAUAUUAAGAUGUGGGAAGAAUGUUUGCCUCAUAUUGAGUUCGCCUAUAAUCGUUCAUUGCAUUCUACUACAAAAAUGUGUCCUUUUGAGAUUGUCUAUGGCUUCUUGCCACGUGCUCCUAUUGAUUUAAUGCCUUUGCCAAGUUCUGAAAAAAUAAAUUUUGAUGCUAAGCAACGUGUUGAAUUGAUGUUAAAAUUGCAUGAAGCCACUAAACAAAACAUAGAGCGCAUGAAUGUUAAGUACAAAUGCGCUGGAGAUAAAGGUAGAAAGCAAUUGAUUCUGGAACCUGGGGAUUUGGUUUGGUUGCAUUUGCGAAAAGAUAGAUUUCCAGAACUGAGAAAAUCCAAAUUGAUGCCUAGAGCUGAUGGUCCUUUUAAAGUGCUGCACCGGAUUAAUGAGAAUGCAUAUAAGCUUGAUCUUCCUGCAGAUUUUGGGGUUAGUCCCACAUUUAACAUUGCAGAUUUGAAGCCUUAUUUGGGUGAGGAAGAUGAGCUUGAGUCGAGGACGACUCAAAUGCAAGCAAGGGAGGAUGAUGAGGACAUCAACACCAGCGAUACAUCCUCUCCGACACAACCUAUAGCUGGUCCUCUUACUCGUGCUCGUGUUCGUCAACUCAAUAAUCAAGUGAGUUCCUUGAUAAGCUCGUGUCCAUCUUGUUUAGACAAUGGAAACGCGUGCACUCUUGUUUUGAUUAGGAACCAAGGAGAAGACCGAAAGGGAGAAGGACUCACGCUCGCUGGAUUCGGACAGCAGCAAAGCGCCAACUUGUGACCGUUACCACGGUUGCAUACGGAUUCAGAUUCAGGCGCUUCAGGACUUGUUGGAAAGCUUAUGAAGUCUACUUUCAUAUGAAUCAAGUCCCACAUCAAUACCUGUUUGGCAACAGCAGCAAUGAUCCAAUUACCGUCGAUAGGUCUUGCUGUCCAGGGUGCUGCGUCACCUCAUUUUGGGCUGAUGGCCCAUGUAUCAAGUUGGGUCUAUUAGGGACGCGUCCUAGGGUUGGAGGACGACCCCAACACCUCUUUGGUCAUCAAUCCAUCUACUUAUAUCCCUCUAGAGCCGCCAUGGUCGUUGGGUUUUGUUUAGAUCAAGUUUAGCCUUCGCUACUUGCUUGUAGGCGCGCGUGCAGGAUCAGCCGCCCGUCUCUUUGUCUUCGGAACCCCAUUGUUGAUUCAGAUUCAGUUUGAAACCUUCAAUUCAUCUUGCAAAUUCAGUGCUUGUUUCCUCGUUCUUGCUAGUUCUUCGAUUGCUUGUAGGACGGGAGCCCUAGGGGCUGGUUGUCGCGCUCCACAAGAUCGUGACGGCUGUGGAACUUGGUGUAUCGGUUGCUAAGGCGCGGUCUUGAGGGCUGUAGUCGGGCCGUGAACGUCAUCUCCAUCCACCAAUCGAGUUAUCCCCGUCUCUCAUCAAAAGAUCAGGCAAAAACCCUAGCGGGUUCGCAUCAACACACGUCAUCAAGGAGUUCUAUCGGGUGUGUCCAAAUGAAUUUCUAAGCAUAUGGUAUGUUCCAUGCAGACCGUGCACCUAUCUUGCAUCAAGAUUAGCACUAUCUCCAAACAGAUCAAAUUGAGCUUCCAAUUGAGCCUCUUCACCGAACUACCAACAGGUGCUUCUAAAAUGGUUUCUUAGACUAUGGUGCAUUAGGCGCAAACCAUGCACAUAUCUAGCACCGAAACUAACACUAUUUCUAAACAGACCAAAGCGAGAUUCCAUAUGACACACGUCAUCAAGGAGUUCCAUCGGGUCCAUCCAAAUUGAUUUCCAAGCAUAUGGUAUGUUCCAUGCAAACCGUGCACCUAUCUUGCAUCAAGAUUAGCACUAUCUCCAAACAGACCGAACCGAGCUUCCACUUGAGCCUCUUCAUCUAGGAGUACAAACAGGUGCUUCAAAAAUGGUUUCUUAGACAAUGGUGCAUUAGGCACAAACAAUGCACCUAUCUUGCACCAAAACUAACAUUGUCACCAAACAGACCGAAGCAAGAUUCCAUAUGACACACGUCAUCUAGGAGUUCCAUUGGGUGCAUCCAAAUUGAUUUCAUAACAUAUGGUACGUUCUAUGCAAACUUUGCAACUAUCUUGCAUCAAGAUUAGCACUAUAUCCAAACAGACCAAAUCGAGCCUCCACUUGAGCCUCUUCAACUAUGAGUACCAUCGGGUGCGUCUAAAAUGGUUUCUUAGCCUAUGGUGCAUUAGGCGUAAACUGUGCACAUAUCUUCUACCAAAACUAACACUGUCUCUAAACGAACCGAAGCAAGAUUCCAUAUGACACACAUCAUCAAGGAGUUAUAUCAGGUGCGUCCUAAUUGAUUUCUGAGCAUAUCAUAUGUUCCAUGCAAACCGUGCAUCUAUCUUGCAUCAAGAUUUGCACUAUCUGCAAUCAGACUAAACAAGUAUGGAGUUAUCCUUCUUUUUUUUAUCACGUUGGUGGAACUCAGAUUGGAACUCUACUCGAUCCGGACCAAGACCACAGUUCAAUUCGGACUUCGCAACAGAUUCGACAGAGAAAAGAUAUGGUAAUACUCGGCUGUGUAUAGAUGGUGACAAGAACUCGAAACUCUAAAGGACUAGACACUAAGACCAGCAACUCGACACAAACCGAAGCAACGCAAAUUCAACAAGCCCUAACUAAAACGGUACUACCCAAGGCACAAAGGUUUAAUAGGUUAUGGAAAAACUAAUCUACUAUAUUUUUUUGGCUUUUCUGGACUAUAGAAAAUUAAUUAAAAACAGCAAAGGAUUAGAAGUCUCUCACCGAAGAACCUUGCUCUGAUUACCAACUGAUGCGAACCCGCUAGGGUUUUUGCCUGAUCUUUUGAUGAGAGACGGAGAUAACUCGAUUGGUGGAUGGAGAUGACGUUCACGGCCCGACUACAGCCCUCAAGACCGCGCCUUAGCAACCGAUACACCACGUCCAACAGUCGUCACGAUCUUGUGGAGCGCGACAACCAGCCCCUAGGGCUCCCGUCCUGCAAGCAAUCGAAGAACUAGCAAGAACGAGGAAACAAGCACUGAAUUUGCAAGAUGAAUUGAAGGUUUCAAACUGAAUCUGAAUCAACAAUGGGGUUCCGAAGACAAGGAGACGGGCGGCUGAUCCUGCACGCGCGCCUACAAGCAAGUAGCGAAGGCUAAACUUGAUCUAAACAAAACCCAACGACCAUGGCGGCUCUAGAGGGAUAUAAGUAGAUGGAUUGAUGACCAAAGAGGUGUUGGGGUCGUCCUCCAACCCUAGGACGCGUCCCUAAUGGACCCAACUUGAUACAUGGGCCAUCAGCCCAAAAUGAGGUGACGCAGCACCCUGGACAGCAAGACCUAUCGACGGUAAUUGGAUCAUUGCUGCUGUUGCCGAACAGGUAUUGAUGUGGGACUUAAUUCAUAUGAAAGUAGACAUGAUAAGCUUUCCAACAAGUCCUGAUGCGCCUGAAUCCGAAUCCGUAUGCAACCGUGGUAACGGUCACAAGUUGGCGCUUUGCUGCUGUCCGAAUCCAGCGAGCGUGAGUCCUUCUCCCUUUCGGUCUUCUCCUUGGUUCCUAAUCAAAACAAGAGUGCACGCGUUUCCAUUGUCUAAACAAGAUGGACACGAGCUUAUCAAGGAACUCACUUGAUUAUUAAGUUGACGAACACGAGCACGAGUAAGAGGACCAGCUAUAGGUUGUGUCGGAGAGGAUGUAUCGCUGGUGUUGAUGUCCUCAUCAAGAUAGGUGCACAGUUUGCGCCUAAUGCACCAUAGUCUAAGAAACCAUUUUGGACGCACUAUUUGGUAGUCUAGGGUGAAGAGUGUCAAGUGGAUGCUCGAUUCGGUUUGUUUGGAGAUAGUGCUAAUCUUGAUGCAAGAUAGGUGCACGGUUUGCAUGGAACAUACCCAAUGCUUGGAAAUCAAUCUGGAUGCACAUGAUGCAACUCCUAGAUGACGUGUUUCAUACGAAAUCUUGCUUCGGUCUGUUUGGAGACAGUGUUAGUUUCAGUGCAAGAUAGGUGCAAGGUUUGCACAUAAUGCGGCAUAGGAGAAGAAAUCAUUUUGGACGCACCCGAUGGUACUCCUAGGUAAAAGGCUCAAGUGAAAGCUCGGUUUGGUCUAUUUGGAGAUAGUGCUAAUCUUGAUUCAAGAUAGAUGCACGGUCUGCAUGGAACGUACCAUAUGCUUAGAAAUUAAUUUGGACACACCCGAUAGAACUCCUUGAUGACGUGUGUGAUAUGGAAUCUCGCUUUGGUGUGCUUAGAGACAGUAUUAGUUUUGGUGCAAGAUAUGUGCACGGUUUGCGCCUAAUGUGAUGAGGACAUCAACACUGCCGACACCAGUACCUAUUGCUGGUCCUCUUACUCGUGCUCAUGCUUGUCAACUUAAUCAUCAAGUGAGUUCUUUCUUAAGCUCUUGUCCAUCUUGUUUAGACCUUAGAAACACAUGUACUUUUGUUUUGAUUAGGAACCAAGGAGAAGACCGAAAGGGACAAGGACUCACGUUGGCUGGAUUAGGACUGCAGCAAAGCGCCAACUUGUGACCGUCACCACGGUUGCAUACGGAUUCAGAUUGGGGUGCUUCAGGACUUGUUGGAAAGCGUAUAAAGUCUACUUUCAUACAAGUCUAGUCCCACGACAAUAUAUGUUCGGCAGCAGCGGCAAAGAUCCAAUUACCGUAGAGAGGUCUUGCUGUCCAGGGUGCUGCGCCACCUUAUUUUGGGCUGAUGGCCCAUGUAUCAAGUUGGAUCUAUUAGGGACGUGUUCUUGGGUUAAACCAUGACCCUAGAUCUCCUUUAGUCAUCCUUUAGGGUACUUAAUGUCCCUACAGCCACCGCCACAUAGUUGGGUUUUGAUUAGAUCAAGUUUAGCCUUCGCUACUUGCUUGUAAACGCGCGUGCUGAUCCAGCUGCCCGUCUUCUUGUUUUCAGAACCCUACUUCAUUGGAGAUUGUGUUUGAAAUCUUUGUUUACAUCUAGUAAUUCAGUACUUGUUCUACUUGUUCUUGCUGGUUCUUCGAUUGCUUGUAGGACGAGUGCCCUACUGGCUAGUUGUCGCGCUCCACAAGAUCGUGACAGCCAUUGGAGGUGGUGUAUCAGUUGCUAAGGCAUGACCUUGGAGGGCUGUAGUCGGACCGUGAACGUCAACUCCUUUCACCAAUCGAGUUACCCAGCAUCUCUCAUCGAAAGAUUGGGCGAAAACCCUAGUGGGUUCUUAUCAAUUGGUAAUCAGAGCAAGGUUUAUUAGUGAGAGACUUUCAAUUCUUUGCUGUUUUACUUUUCCCAUAUUUCCAAUAAAAAGCCAAAAACAGUAGUAGAUUAGUUUUCCCACAGUCCUAUAAACACUUUGAGCCUUGGCUAGCACUACUUAGUUAGGGCUUGUUGUGUUUGAUUUACUUCGGUUGAGUCAAGUUGCUGGUCUUAGGGUUAGGCUUUUAGAGUUUUGAGUUCUUGUCACGUUUUGGUCCUAUCCAUCAUUUUCAUCUCGCUAUCAUCACCACCACCAUAUAUUACAUAUCCACUACAUAUUUAUCUCAAUUGCAAUCUUUACUGCCAUAUUUUUCUUUGUUACACCAUAUCCACCAUUACUCACUGAAAAGAAACAAAAAUACUUUGUAAGUUGUUUCUAUUUGGAAUCUGAUUUGUCCUAGUUUUGCAAAGUAAAGGAAAAGAAGAAGAAAGAGUAUAAAGAAGAGAAAAGAAAAAAAAGAGAACAAAAACAAAAAGAAAAGGAAAAGAACAGAAAAGAAAAAGGAAAGGGGAGUAAUAGGUUCCUGUUGCUAUUCUUGUGUUGUUUCUAACUAUACAGUGACUCCGUUUGUGUCUAGGCUUGCGUCUCUAGCACGAUCUAGCCUAGGACCAGCAUGGUACCACCGUCGAAUGAUUUCUCAACUUGCUUUUGUAAUUAACAUGGUGCUAGUUAUUCCUUGUUUUUAGUCCACCUAUAGCUCCACAUAUUCUACAGCUUGACAGGUCUUGUUGCUGCAGCACCGAUACACUUCAUUCCAUUGCUGCAGACUUGUCGGUAGCCGACACCUCCUGUUGAGCAAGGUAAGAAUUGGUAAGAACUUGUCUAACAGGUUGAGAGUGAGCGCCUUAUUGUAGCUACAUCCUAAUAGUUGUAGGGCUUGUGUUUCUUCACCUAUUUUCUUGUUUCCACUAUUUUUUUAAAAACCAUGUUAGAAACAGAGGAAGUCAACAAGAUUCUGUAGUCACCUCACACUAAGGGCAUCAUACAAUAUUUUGAAAGGCAAGUGAAGCUGCACACAGAGGGGCUUGAUAACGACUUGCAGGUGACGAAUGAAGAGCUAGGGCAGUUGGAGGCCACACAGAUUGCCACUAAUGACAAGCUUACAAAGGUGGAGGUAGCUGUUGCUAAUGUGGAUAAAAGUCUUGUUGCGCUUCUCAAGCAUUUUGAUGCUUUCCACAUAAUGGAUAAAGAGAAGCAUAAGGAAGAAAACAAGGAGGAAGAACGAGUGGACAACAAGUACGAUGAUGAUUACACUGCUGAUACUGAACGGGAUGAUCAAGACACUCGUGAUCGACGUCGCCUACAUCACAACCGUAGAGGUAUGGGUGGCCACCGCCGAUGUGAGGUACACAAUAAUAAUGAUGCUUUCAGUAAGAUUAAAUUUAAAAUACCUCCUUUUGAUGGUAAAUAUGAUCCUGAUACUUACAUUACUUGAGAGAUUGUUGUUGAUCAAAAGUUUGCACGGAAUGAAUUUCCUGAGGAUACUCGUGUUAGGGCUGCUACUAUUGAGUUUACUGAUUUUGCCUCAGUUUGGUGGAUAGAACAUGGAAAGAAGAAUCCCAAUAACAUACCUCGAACUUGGUGUGCAUUGAAGAGAAUCAUGCGGGCUAGAUUUGUUCCUUCUUACUAUGCACGUGAUUUGUUACAUAAGUUGCAGCAAUUAAGACAAGGUGCUAAAAGUGUAGAAGAAUAUUAUCAGGAAUUACAAAUGGGUAUGCUGUGAUGUAAUUUAGAGGAGGAAGAGGAACCUGCUAUGGCUAGAUUUUUGGGUGGGUUAAAUCGUGAAAUUCAAGAUAUUCUUGCUUAUAAAGAAUAUACUAACGUAAAGCCGAAAGGGAAGUGCAGGGAAGACGUUCUAGCACCAGGUCUAAUGUUUUUGUAGGGAAAUCAAUAUCAUGGCAACAGCGCACAUCUAAUUCCAUGUCAGGUCGUGCAUCUCCCCAACAAAGCCGAUCAUCGGCGCCACCACCUUCUUCCAAUGACAAACAACAUGAUUCAUCCACAAAUUCAGCAACCAAACUAGUCCCAAAACCAGCUGCUAGUGCCUCUUCGGUUGCUUCCACAGGAAGAAUAAGGGAUAUCUAGUGUCAUCGAUGCAAGGGCUACGAACAUGUGCAGCGUGAUUGUCCCAACAAGUGUGUUUUGGUGGUUAACGCUGAUGGUGGGUAUUCCUCUGCUAGUGAUUUUGAUGAUGAUACACUUGCAUUGCUUGCGGCUGACCAUGCAGGUAGUGAAGAAUAUUUAGAAGAACACAUUGAUGCCGGCGAUGCAGAUCGCUAUGAGAGUCUCAUUGUGCAGCGUGUGCUUAGUGCACAAAUGGAGAAAGCGGAACAAAAUUAGCGACACACAUUCUUCCAAACAAAGUGUGUCAUCAAAGAGCAUUCGUGCCGCAUGAUCAUUGAUGGAGGAAGUUGCAACAACUUGGCCAGUAGUGAAAUGGUGGAGAAGCUUGCACUUACCACCAAGCCACACCCACACCCGUAUUACAUUCAAUGGCUGAACAAUAGUGGUAAGGCAAAGGUAACUAGACUUGUGAGAAUCAACUUCACCAUUGGAUCAUAUAAAGAUGUUGUUGAAUGUGAUGUUGUGCCUAUGCAAGCUUGUAAUAUUCUGCUAGGUAGACCUUGGCAAUUUGAAGGGAUUCCAUGCAUCAUGGUAGAACAAAUCAAUACUCCUUCCUGUUCCAUGAUAGAAAAAUUAUGUUGAACCCUAUGUCGCCUGAAGCUAUUAUGCAAAGUGAUGUUGCUAAAGCUGCAAAAGCUAAAUGUGAGAGAAAUACAAAUGCCAAAUCUGUUGCUAAUAAGAAAGAUGAGAUAAAAUUAAAAGGCACAUGUUUGCUUGCUACUAAAUCUGAUAUUAAUGAGUUCAAUGCUUCUACAUCUAUUGCCUAUGCUAUGGUAUGCAAGGAUGCUUUGAUUUUAAUUUCAGAUAUGCAGCAUUCUUUGCCCCCUACUGUUGCUAACAUUUUGCAGGAGUAUUCUGAUGUUUUUCCAAGUGAGAUACCAGCGGGGCUGCCUCCUAUACGUGGAAUUGAGCACCAAAUUGAUCUUAUACCCGGUGCAUCUUUGGCGAACCGUGCGCCAUAUAGGGUAAAUCCGGAGGAAACAAAAGAAAUCUAGCGACAAGUGCAAGAACUACUCAACAAAGGUUAUGUACGUGAGUCUCUUAGUCCUUGUGCUGUUCUGGUUAUUCUGGUGCCUAAGAAAGAUGGAACAUGGCGUAUGUGUGUCGAUUGUAGGGCUAUUAAUAAUAUCACCAUUCACUAUCGACACCCUAUUCCCCGUUUAGAUGAUAUGCUUGAUGAAUUGAGUGGUGUUGUUGUGUUCUCCAAAGUUGAUUUACAUAGUGGGUUCCAUCAGAUUCGUAUGAAAUUGGGAGAUGAAUGGAAAACUGCUUUCAAAACUAAAUUUGGCUUAUAUGAGUGGUUAGUAAUGCCAUUUGGAUUAACUAAUGCUCCCAGUACUUUCAUGAGACUAAUGAACGAAGUUUUGCGAGCUUUCAUUGGAAAAUUUGUUAUAGUCUAUUUUGAUGAUAUAUUGAUUUAUAGCAAAUCUAUGGAUGAACAUCUUGAUCAUUUACGUGUUGUUUUUAAUGCUCUACGUGAUGCACGUUUAUUUGGUAAUCUUGAGAAGUGCACGUUUUGCACCGAUCGAGUGUCUUUUCUUGGCUAUGUUGUGAAUCCACAGGGAAUUGAGGUUGACCAAGCCAAGGUGGAAGCUAUACAGGGAUGGUCUGUACCAAACACUAUCACCGAGGUGUGGAGUUUCCUAGGACUUGCUGGAUUUUAUCGCCGUUUUGUGAAGGAUUUCAGCACCGUUGCUGCACCAUUGAAUGAGCUUACAAAGAAGGGAGUGCCUUCUGAAUGGGGUAAAGCACAAGAGAAUUAUUUUAACAUGUUGAAAGAUAAGCUAACUCAUGCACCUCUCCUACAACUUCCUAAUUUUAAUAAGACUUUUGAGCUUGAAUGUGAUGCUAGUGGAGUUGGUUUGGGUGGUGUUUUGUUACAAGAGGGUAAACCUAUUGCAUAUUUUGGUGAGAAAUUAAGUGGGCCUGUUCUCAAUUAUUCUACUUAUGAUAAAGAACUCUAUGCUCUUGUUCAAACAUUAGAGACAUGGCAGCAUUAUUUGUGGCCCAAAGAGUUUGUUAUACAUUCUGAUCAUGAAUCUUUGAAACAUAUUCGUAGUCAAGGAAAACUGAAUCGUAAACAUGCUAAAUGGGUAGAAUUUAUUGAAUCCUUUCCUUAUGUUAUUAAGCACAAGAAAGGGAAGGAGAAUAUUAUUGCUCAUGCUUUGUCAAGGAGAUAUACUUUGCUAAAUCAACUUGAUUACAAGAUCUUUGGAUUAGAAACAAUUAAAGACCAAUAUGUUCAUGAUGCUGAUUUUAGAGACGUGUUGCUGCAUUGUAAAGAUGGAAAGGCAUAGAACAAAUUCAUCGUUAAUGAUGGGUUUGUGUUUAGAGCUAACAAGCUAUGCAUUCCAACUAGCUCUGUUCGUUUGUUGUUUUUGUAGGAAGCACAUGGAGGUGGCUUGAUGGGCCAUUUUGGAGCCAAAAAGACAGUGGACAUACUUGCUGGUCAUUUCUUUUGGCAAAAGAUGAAAAGAGAUGUGGAGAGGUUUGUUGCUAGAUGCACAACAUGUCAAAACGCAAUGUCACGGUCAAAUCGACACGGUUUGUGAUGAGGACAUCAACACCAGCGAUACAUAUCCUACAUCCACCAGCGAUACAUACCCUACAUCCUCUCCGGCACAACCUAUAGCUGGUCCUCUUACUCGUGCUCGUGCCCGUCAACUCAACCUUCAAGUAAGUUCAGUUUUAAACUCUUGUCAAUCAUAUUUAGACAAUGGAGACACGUGCACUUUCGUGUUGCUCAGGAAUAAUGGACAAGAUCAGCAAGGGAAGGUUCAACUGCAUUCAGAAUUUGAGGCAACACCAACUUCAAGGGCUGAUUGCAUAUGGGAAGAGUGAUAACUUAACAAAGGUGAUUGGAGAUCAGGUCCAAGCCUCCACAACAUCCUCUAUCAAGUUACCACAUCGCUUCUAAAGCAAGGAAACAAAGAGUCCAAACCCAACACGUUUUGGGAGUUGGAUUCGGACUGGAAAAUAACUCUAACUUGUAUGGAUCACCACGGCGUCAUAUGGACUCCAACUGGGACGUUCCCAUACUUGUUGGAAAGCUCAUGAAGUCUACUUUCCAAUGGGUCCAACCACAUAUCUAUGCAGCUUAUGAGUCGGGCGCAGUCCUUGUUUUCGUGCCGACACCUUUUUCUGUUUUGGUGCUGCGUCACCCUAUUUUGGACCAAUGGCCCAUGUAUCAAGUUGAGUCCAUUAGGGACGCGUCCUAGGGUUGGAGGACGACUCUAGCACCCCUUUGGUCGUCCUCCCCUCUAUUUAUUUACAUCUAGAGCCGCCAUGAACAACUGGGUUUUGAUUAGAUAAAGUUUAGCCUUCGCUACUUGCUUGUAAACGCGCGUGCUGAUCCAGCCGCCCGUCUACUUGUUUUCGAAACCCCACUUCAUUAGAGAUUGAGUUUGAAACCUUCAUUUACAUCUAGUAAUUUAGUACUUGUUCUACUUGUUCUUGCUGGUUCUUCGAUUGCUUGCAGGACGAGUGCCCUAGUGGCCGGGUGUUGCGCUCCACAAGAUCGUGACAGCCAUUGGUGGCGGUGUAUCGGUUGCUAAGGCGCGGCCUUAGAAGGCUGUAGUCGGGCCGUGAACGUCAUCUCCAUUCACUAAUCGAGUUAUCCAGCGCCUCUCAUCGAAAGAUCGGGCGAAAACCCUAGUGGGUUCACAUCAGUUUGUACUUACCUCUACCUGUUCCUAAUGCUCCUUGGGAGGAUAUAUCUAUGGAUUUUGUGUUGGGGUUACCAAGGACUAGGAGGGGACAUGAUAGUGUGUUUGUGGUUGUUGAUAGAUUUUCUAAGAUGGCACAUUUCAUACCAUGUCAUAAAACUGAUGAGCUAUACAUAUUGCUGAUUUGUUCUUUCGAGAAAUUAUUCGCUUGCAUGGUGUACCCAACAUAAUUGUUUCUGAUCGUGAUGCUAAAUUUCUUAGUCAUUUUUGGAAGACUUUGUGGUCAAAAUUGGGGACUAAUCUUUUAUUUUCUACUACAUGUCAUCCCCAAACUGAUGGUCAAACUGAGGUUCCGAAUAGAACUUUGUCAACUAUGUUAAGAGCCAUUUUAAAGAAGAACAUUAAAAUGUUGGAAGAAUGUUUUGCCUCAUAUUGAAUUUGCUUAUAAUGGAUCGCUGCAUUCUACUACAAAAAUGUGCCCGUUUCAGGUUGUUUAUGGUUUGUUGCCUCGAGCUUCGGUAGAUUUAAUGCCUUUGCCAUCUUCUAAAAUAGUAAAUUUUGAUGCUACUAAGCGUGCUGAAUUGAUGUUGAAACUGCAUGAAACAACUAAGCAAAACAUAGAGCGUAUGAAUGCUAAGUAUAAGCUUGUGGGUGAUAAAGGAAGAAAGGAAUUGAAAUUUGAACCUGGAGAAUUAGUUUGGUUGCAUACCAUAUGCUUAGAAAUCAAUUUGGAUGCACCUGAUGGAACUCCUUGAUGACGUGUGUCAUAUGGAAGCUCGCUUCGGUCCAUUUGGAGACAUUGUUAGUUUCGGUGCAAGAUAAGUGCACAUUUUGCACCUAAUGCACCAUAGUCUAAGAAACCAUUUUGGAUGCACCCAAUGGUACUCCAAGGUCGAGGGGCUCAAGUGAAAACUCGGUUUGGUCUAUUUGGAGAUAGUGCUAAUCUUGAUGCAAGAUAGAUGCACGGCCUGCAUGGAACGUACCAUAUGCUUAUAAAUUAAUUUGGACACACCUGAUAGAACUCCUUGAUGACGUGUGUCAUAUGGAAUCUUGCUUUGGUGUGCUUAGAGAUAGUAUUAGUUUUGGUGCAAGAUAUGUGCACGGUUUGCGCCUAAUGCACCAAAGUCUAAGAAACCUUUUUGGAAGCACCUUUGAUACUCCUAGGUGUAGAGGCUCAAGUGGAGGCUCGGUUCGGUCUGUUUAGAGAUAGUGCUAAUCUUGAUGCAAGAUAGGUGCACGAUUUGCAUGGAACAUACAUGCUCAAAAAUCAAUUUGGACGCACCAGAUGGAACUCCUAGAUGACAUGUGUCAUAAGGAAUCUCACUUCGGUCCGUUUAAAGUCAGUGUUAGUUUCAGUGCAAGAUAGGUGUACGGUUUGCACCUAAUGCACCAUAGGAUAAGAAACCAUUUUUGAUGAUGUGUGUCAUAUGGAAUCUUGCUUCGGUUCGUUUAGAGACAGUGUUAGUUUUAGUAGAAGAUAUGUGCACGGUUUACGCCUAAUGCACCAUAGGCUAAGAAACCAUUUUAGACGCACCCGAUGGUACUCGUAGUUGAAGAGGCUCAAGUGGAGGCUCAAUUUGGUCUGUUCAGAUAUAGUGCUAAUCUUGAUGCAAGAUAGUUGCACAGUUUGCAUGGAACGUACCAUAUGUUAAGAAAUCAAUUUGGACGCAUCCAAUAGAACUCCUAGAUGACGUGUGUCAUAUGGAAUCUCGCUUCGGUCUGUUUGGAGACAAUGUUAGUUUCAGUGUAAGAUAUGUGCAUAGUUUGUGCCUAAUGCACCAUAGUCUAAGAAACCAUUUUUGACACACCUGUUUGUACUCCUAGAUGAAGAGGCUCAAGUGGAAGCUCGGUUCAGUCUGUUUGGAGAUAGUGCUAAUCUUGAUGCAAGAUAGGUGCACGGUUUGCAUGGAACAUACCAUAUGCUUGGAAAUCAAUUUGGAUGCACCCGAUGGAACUCCUUGAUGACGUGUGUCAUAUGGAAUCUCGAUUUGGUCUCUUUAGAAACAGUGUUAGUUUCAGUGCAAGAUAUGUGCAUCGUUUGCGCCUAGUGCACCAUAGUCUAAGAAACCAUUUUGGAAGCACCUAUUGGUACUUCGGUGAAGAGGCUCAAGUGGAAGCUCGGUUUGAUUUGUUUGGAGAUAGUGCUAAUCUUGAUGCAAGAUAGGUGCAUGAUUUGCAAGGAACAUACCAUAUGCUUAGAAAUCAAUUUGGACGCACCCAAUGGAACUCCUAGAUGACGUGUGUCAUAUGGAAUCUUGCUGCGGUCCGUUUGUAGACAUUGUAAGUUUUAGUGCAAGAUAGGUGCACAGUUUGCGCCUAAUGCACUAUAGUCUAAGAAACCAUUUUGGACGCAUAUUUGGUACUCCUGGGUGAAGAGGCUCAAGUGGAAGCUUGGGUCGGUCAGUUUGGAGAUAGUGCUAGUCCUUAUGCUAGAUAGGUGCAUGGUUUGCAUGGAACAUACCAUAUGCUUGGAAAUCAAUUUGGAUGCACCCAAUGGAACUCCUUGAUGACGUGUGUCAUAUGGAAUCUCUCUUCGGUCCAUUUGGAGACACUGUUAGUUUCGGUGCAAGAUAAGUGCACAGUUUGCACCUAAUGCACCAUAGUAUAAGAAACCAUUUUUGAUGCACUUGUUGGUACUCCUAGGUGAAGGGGCUUAAGUGGAUGCUCGGUUUGGUGUGUUUGGAGAUAGUACUAAUCUUGAUGCAAGAUAGGUGCACUGUUUGCGUGGAACAUACCAAAUGCUUGGAAAUCAAUCUGGAUGCACAUGAUGGAACUCCUAGAUGACGUGUGUCAUAUGAAUUCUUGCUUCGGUCUGUUUGGAGACAGUGUUAGUUUCGGUGCAAGAUAGGUGCAAGCUUUGCACCUAAUGAACCAUAGGAUAAGAAACCAUUUUGGAUGCACCCAAUGGUACUCCUGGGUCGAGGGGCUCAAGUGAAAGCUCGGUUUGGUUUGUUUGGAGAUAGUGCUAAUUUUGAUGGAAGAUAGAUGCACAGUUUGCAUGGAACAUACGAAAUGCUCAGAAAUCAAUUAGGACGCACCUUAUAUAACUCCUUGAUGAUGUGUGUCAUAUGGAAUCUUGCUUCAGUUCGUUUAGAGACAGUCUUAGUUUUAGUAGAAGAUAUGUGCACGGUUUAUGCCUAAUGCACCAUAGGCUAUGAAACCAUUUUAGACGCACCCGAUGGUACUCGUAGUUGAAGAGGCUCAAGUGGAGGCUCGAUUUGGUCUGUUUAGAUAUAGUGCUAAUCUUGAUGCAAGAUAGUUGCACAGUUUGCAUGGAAUGUACCAUAUGUUAAUAAAUCAAUUUGGACGCACCCAAUAGAACUCCUAGAUAACGUGUGUCAUAUGGAAUCUCGCUUCGGUCUGUUUGGAGACAAUGUUAGUUUCGGUGUAAGAUAGGUGCAUAGUUUGUGCCUAAUGCACCAUAGUCUAAGAAACUAUUUUUGACACACAUGUUUGUACUCCUAGAUGAAGAGGCUCAAGUGGAAGCUCGGUUCAGUCUGUUUGGAGAUAAUGCUAAUCUUGAUGUAAAAUAGGUGCACGGUUUGCAUGGAACAUACCAUAUGCUUGGAAAUCAAUUUGGAUGCACCCGAUGGAACUCCUUGAUGACGUGUGUCAUAUGGAAUCUCGCUUUGGUCUCUUUAGAAACAGUGUUAGUUUCGGUGCAAGAUAUGUGCAUGGUUUGCGCCUAGUGCACCAUAGUCUAAGAAACCAUUUUGGAAGCUCAUGUUGGUACUUCGGUGAAGAGGCUCAAGUGCAAGCUCGGUUUGAUUUAUUUGGAGAUAGUGCUAAUCUUGAUGCAAGAUAGGUGCAUGAAUUGCAAGGAACAUACCAUAUGCUUAGAAAUCAAUUUGGACGCACCCAAUGGAACUCCAAGAUGACGUGUGUCAUAUGGAAUCUUGCUGCGGUCCGUUUGUAGACAUUGCAAGUUUUAGUGCAAGAGAUAGGUGCACAGUUUGCGCUUAAUGCACCAUAGUCUAAGAAACCAUUUUGGACGCAUAUUUGGUACUCCUGGGUGAAGAGGCUCAAGUGGAAGCUUGGGUCGGUCAGUUUGGAGAUAGUGCUAAUCCUUAUGCAAGGUAGGUGCAUGGUUUGCAUGGAACAUACCAUAUGCCUCGAAAUCAAUUUGGAUGCACCCAAUGGAACUCCUUGAUGACGUGUGUCAUAUGGAAUCUCGCUUCGGUCCAUUUGGAGACACUGUUAGUUUCGGUGCAAGAUAGGUGCACAGUUUGCACCUAAUGCACCAUAGUCUAAGAAACCAUUUUGGACGCAAUUGUUGGUACUCCUAGUGAAGGGGCUCAAGUGGAUGCUCGAUUUGGUGUGUUUGGAGAUAGUACUCAUCUUGAUGCAAGAUAGGUGCACUGUUUGCAUGGAACAUACCAAAUGCUUGGAAAUCAAUCUGGAUGCACAUGAUGGAACUCCUAGAUGACGUGUGUCAUAUGAAAUCUUGCUUCGGUCUGUUUGGAGACAGUGUUAGUUUCGGUGCAAGAUAGGUGCAAGGUUUGCACAUAAUGCAGCAUAGGCUAAGAAAUCAUUUUGGACGGACCCGAUGGUACUCCUAGGUAAAAGGCUCAAGUGAAAGCUCGGUUUGGUCUAUUUGGAGAUAGUGCUAAUCUUGAUGCAAGAUAGGUGCACGGCCUGCAUGGAACGUACCAUAUGCUUAUAAAUUAAUUUGGACACACCCGAUAGAACUCCUUGAUGACGUGUGUCAUAUGGAAUCUUGCUUUGGUGUGCUUAGAGACAGUAUUAGUUUUGGUGCAAGAUAUGUGCACGGUUUGCGCCUAAUGCAUCGAAGUCUAAGAAACCUUUUUGGAAGCACCUUUGAUGCUCCUAGGUGAAGAGGCUCAAGUGGAGGCUCGGUUCGGUCUGUUUAGAGAUAGUGCUAAUCUUGAUGCAAGAUAGGUGCACGAUUUGCAUGGAACAUACCAUAUGCUCAGAAAUAAAUUUAGACGCACCAGAUGGAACUCCUAGAUGACAUGUGUCAUAAGGAAUCUCACUUCGGUCCGUUUAAAGUCAGUGUUAGUUUCAGUGCAAGAUAGGUGUACGGUUUGCACCUAAUGCACCAUAGGAUAAGAAACCAUUUUGGAUGCACCCAAUGGUACUCCUAGGUCGAGGAGCUCAAGUGAAAGCUCGGUUUGGUCUAUUGGAGAUAGUGCUAAUUUUGAUGCAAGAUAGAUGCACAGUUUGCAUGGAACAUAUGAUAUGCUCAGAAAUCAAUUAGGAUGCACCUGAUAUAACUACUUGAUGAUGUGUGUCAUAUGGAAUCUUGCUUCGGUUCGUUUAGAGACAGUGUUAGUUUUAGUAGAAGAUAUGUGCACGGUUUACGCCAAAUGCACCAUAGGCUAAGAAACCAUUUUAGACGCACCCGAUGGUACUCGUAGUUGAAGAGGCUCAAGUGGAGGCUCGAUUUGGUCUAUUCAGAUAUAGUGCUAAUCUUGGUGCAAGAUAGUUGCACAGUUUGCAUGGAACGUACCAUAUGUUAAGAAAUCAAUUUGGACACACCCAAUAGAACUCCUAGAUGACGUGUGUCAUAUGGAAUCUCACUUCGGUCUGUUUGGAGACAAUGUUUGUUUCGGUGUAAGAUAGGUGCAUAGUUUGUGCCUAAUGCACCAUAGUCUAAGAAACCAUUUUUGACACAACUAUUUGUACUCCUAGAUGAAGAGGCUCAAGUGGAAGCUCGGUUCAGUCUGUUUGGAGAUAGUUCUAAUCUUGAUGCAAGAUAGGUGCACGGUUUGCAUGUAACAUACCAUAUGCUUGGAAAUUAAUUUGGAUGCACCCGAUGGAACUCCUUGAUGACGUGUGUCAUAUGGAAUCUCGCUUUGGUCUGUUUAGAAACAAUGUUAGUUUCGGUGCAAGAUAUGUGCAUGGUUUGCGCCUAGUGCACCAUAGUUUAAGAAACCAUUUUGGAAGCACCUGUUGGUACUUCGGUGCAGAGGCUCAAGUGGAAGCUCGGUUUGAUUUGUUUGGAGAUAGUGCUAAUCUUGUUGCAAGAUAGGUGCAUGAAUUGCAAGGAACAUACCAUAUGCUUAGAAAUCAAUUUGGACGCACCCAAUAGAACUCCUAGAUGACGUGUGUCAUAUGGAAUCUUGCUGCGGUCCGUUUGUAGACAUUGUAAGUUUUAAUGCAAGAUAGGUGCAUAGUUUGCGCCUAAUGCACCAUAGUCUAAGAAACCAUUUUGGACGCAUAUUUGGUACUCCUAGGUGAAGAGGCUCAAGUGGAAGCUUGGGUCGGUCAGUUUGGAGAUAGUGCUAAUCCUUAUGCUAGAUAGGCGCAUGGUUUGCAUGGAACAUACCAUAUGCCUCGAAAUCAAUUUGGAUGCACCCAAUGGAACUCCUUGAUUACGUGUGUCAUAUGGAAUCUCGCUUCGGUCCAUUUGGAGACACUGUUAGUUUCGGUGCACGAUAGGUGCACAGUUUGCACCUAAUGCACCAUAGUAUAAGAAACCAUUUUGGACGCAAUUGUUGGUACUCCUAGUGAAGGGGCUCAAGUGGAUGCUCGAUUUGGUGUGUUUGGAGAUAGUACUCAUCUUGAUGCAAGAUAGGUGCACUGUUUGCAUGGAACAUACCAAAUGCUUGGAAAUCAAUCUGGAUGCACAUGAUGGAACUCCUAGAUGACGUGUGUCAUAUGAAAUCUUGCUUCGGUCUGUUUGGAGACAGUGUUAGUUUCGGUGCAAGAUAGGUGCAAGGUUUGCACAUAAUGCAGCAUAGGCUAAGAAACCAUUUUGGACGGACCCGAUGGUACUCCUAGGUAAAAGGCUCAAGUGAAAGCUCGGUUUGGUCUAUUUGGAGAUAGUGCUAAUCUUGAUGCAAGAUAGGUGCACGGCCUGCAUGGAACGUACCAUAUGCUUAUAAAUUAAUUUGGACACACCCGAUAGAACUCCUUGAUGACGUGUGUCAUAUGGAAUCUUGCUUUGGUGUGCUUAGAGACAGUAUUAGUUUUGGUGCAAGAUAUGUGCACGGUUUGCGCCUAAUGCAUCGAAGUCUAAGAAACCUUUUUGGAAGCACCUUUGAUGCUCCUAGGUGAAGAGGCUCAAGUGGAGGCUCGGUUCGGUCUGUUUAGAGAUAGUGCUAAUCUUGAUGCAAGAUAGGUGCACGAUUUGCAUGGAACAUACCAUAUGCUCAGAAAUAAAUUUAGACGCACCAGAUGGAACUCCUAGAUGACAUGUGUCAUAAGGAAUCUCACUUCGGUCCGUUUAAAGUCAGUGUUAGUUUCAGUGCAAGAUAGGUGUACGGUUUGCACCUAAUGCACCAUAGGAUAAGAAACCAUUUUGGAUGCACCCAAUGGUACUCCUAGGUCGAGGGGCUCAAGUGAAAGCUCGGUUUGGUCUAUUGGAGAUAGUGCUAAUUUUGAUGCAAGAUAGAUGCACAGUUUGCAUGGAACAUAUGAUAUGCUCAGAAAUCAAUUAGGAUGCACCUGAUAUAACUCCUUGAUGAUGUGUGUCAUAUGGAAUCUUGCUUCGGUUCGUUUAGAGACAGUGUUAGUUUUAGUAGAAGAUAUGUGCACGGUUUACGCCAAAUGCACCAUAGGCUAAGAAACCAUUUUAGACGCACCCGAUGGUACUCGUAGUUGAAGAGGCUCAAGUGGAGGCUCGAUUUGGUCUAUUCAGAUAUAGUGCUAAUCUUGGUGCAAGAUAGUUGCACAGUUUGCAUGGAACGUACCAUAUGUUAAGAAAUCAAUUUGGACACACCCAAUAGAACUCCUAGAUGACGUGUGUCAUAUGGAAUCUCACUUCGGUCUGUUUGGAGACAAUGUUUGUUUCGGUGUAAGAUAGGUGCAUAGUUUGUGCCUAAUGCACCAUAGUCUAAGAAACCAUUUUUGACACAACUAUUUGUACUCCUAGAUGAAGAGGCUCAAGUGGAAGCUCGGUUCAGUCUGUUUGGAGAUAGUUCUAAUCUUGAUGCAAGAUAGGUGCACGGUUUGCAUGUAACAUACCAUAUGCUUGGAAAUUAAUUUGGAUGCACCCGAUGGAACUCCUUGAUGACGUGUGUCAUAUGGAAUCUCGCUUUGGUCUGUUUAGAAACAAUGUUAGUUUCGGUGCAAGAUAUGUGCAUGGUUUGCGCCUAGUGCACCAUAGUUUAAGAAACCAUUUUGGAAGCACCUGUUGGUACUUCGGUGCAGAGGCUCAAGUGGAAGCUCGGUUUGAUUUGUUUGGAGAUAGUGCUAAUCUUGUUGCAAGAUAGGUGCAUGAAUUGCAAGGAACAUACCAUAUGCUUAGAAAUCAAUUUGGACGCACCCAAUAGAACUCCUAGAUGACGUGUGUCAUAUGGAAUCUUGCUGCGGUCCGUUUGUAGACAUUGUAAGUUUUAAUGCAAGAUAGGUGCAUAGUUUGCGCCUAAUGCACCAUAGUCUAAGAAACCAUUUUGGACGCAUAUUUGGUACUCCUAGGUGAAGAGGCUCAAGUGGAAGCUUCGGUCGGUCAGUUUGGAGAUAGUGCUAAUCCUUAUGCUAGAUAGGCGCAUGGUUUGCAUGGAACAUACCAUAUGCUUGGAAAUCAAUUUGGAUGCACCCAAUGGAACUCCUUGAUUACGUGUGUCAUAUGGAAUCUCUCUUUGGUCCAUUUGGAGACACUGUUAGUUUCGGUGCACGAUAGGUGCACAGUUUGCACCUAAUGCACCAUAGUAUAAGAAACCAUUUUUGACGCACUUGUUGGUACUCCUAGUGAAGUUGCUCAAGUGGAUGCUCGAUUUGGUGUGUUUGGAGAUAGUACUAAUCUUGAUGCAAGAUAGGUGCACUGUUUGCAUGGAACAUACCAAAUGCUUGGAAAUCAAUCUGGAUACACAUGAUGGAACUCCUAGAUGACGUGUGUCAUAUGAAAUCUUGCUUCGGUCUGUUUGGAGACAGUGUUAGUUUCGGUGCAAGAUAGGUGCAAGGUUUGCACAUAAUGCAGCAUAGGCUAAGAAACCAUUUUGGACGGACCCGAUGGAACUCCUAGGUAAAAGGCUAAAGUGAAAGCUCGGUUUGGUCUAUUUGGAGAUAGUGCUAAUCUUGAUGCAAGAUAGAUGCACGGCCUGCAUGGAACGUACCUUAUGCUUAUAAAUUAAUUUGGACACAUCCGAUAGAACUCCUUGAUGACGUGUGUCAUAUGGAAUCUUGCUUUGGUGUGCUUAGAGACAAUAUUAGUUUCGGUGCAAGAUAUGUGCACGGUUUGCGCCUAAUGCACCAAAGUCUAAGAAACCUUUUUGGAAGCACCUGUUGGUACUCCUAGGUAAAGAGGCUCAAGCGGAGGCUCGUUUCGGUCUGUUUAGAGAUAGUGCUAAUCUUGAUGCAAGAUAGGUGCACGAUUUGCAUGGAACAUACCAUAUGCUCAGAAAUCAAUUUGGACGCACCAGAUGGAACUCUUAGAUGACAUGUGUGUCUAAGAAACCAUUUUGGAAGCACCUUUUGGUACUUCGGUGAAGAGGCUCAAGUGGAAGCUCGGUAUGAUCUGUUUGGAGACAGUGCUAAUCUUGAUGCAAGAAAGGCGCAUGAUUUGCAUGGAACAUACCAUAUUCUUAUAAAUCAAUUUGGACGCACCCAAUGGAACUCCUAGAUCACGUGUGUCAUAUGGAAUCUUGCUUCGGUCUGUUUGGAGACAAUGUUAGUUUUGGUGCAAGAUAGGUGCAUAGUUUGUGCCUAAUGCACCACAGUCUAAGAAACCAUUUUUGACGCACCUGUUUGUACUCCUAGAUGAAGAGGCUCAAGUGGAAGCUCGCUUCGGUCUGUUUGGCGAUAGUGCUAAUCUUAAUGCAAGAUAGGUGCACAUUUGCAUGGAAGAUACCAUAUGCUUGGAAAUCAAUUUGGAUGCACCCGAUGGAACUCCUUGAUGACGUGUGUCAUAUGGAAUCUCGCUUUGGUCUAUUUAGAAACAGUGUUAGUUUCGGUGCAAGAUAUGUGCAUGGUUUCCUCCUAAUGCACCAGCGUUUAAGAAACCAUUUUGGAAGCACCUGUAGGUACUUCGGUUAAGAGGCUCAAGUGGAAGCUCCGUUUGAUCUGUUUGAAGAUAGUGCUAAUCUUGAUGCAAGAUAGGUGCAUGUUUUGUAAGGAACAAACCAUAUGCUAAGAAAUCAAUUUGGACGCACCCAAUGGAACUCCUAGAUAAUGUGUGUCAUAUGGAAUCUUGCUUCGGUCCAUUUGUAGACAUUGUAAGUUUUAGUGAAAGAAAAGUGCAUAGUUUGUGCCUAAUGCACCAUAGUUUAAGAAACCAUUUUGGACGCAUAUUUGGUACUCCUGGGUGAAGAGGCUCAAGUGGAAGCUUGGGUCGGUCAGUUUGGAGAUAGUGCUAAUCCUUAUGCAAGGUAGGUGCAUGGUUUGCUUGGAACAUACCAUAUGCCUCGAAAUCAAUUUGGAUGCACCCAAUGGAACUCCUUGAUGACGUGUGUCAUAUGGAAUCUCGCUUCGGUCCAUUUGGAGACACUAUUAGUUUCGGUGCAAGAUAGGUGCACAGUUUGCACCUAAUGCACCAUAGUCUAAGAAACCAUUUUGGACGCAAUUGUUGGUACUCCUAGGUGAACGGGCUCAAGUGGAUGCUCGGUUCAGUCUAUUUCGAGAUAUUGCUAAUCUUGAUGCAAGAUAGGUGCACGGUUUGCAUGGAACAUACCAAAUGCUUAGAAAUCAAGCUGGACGAACAUGAUGGAACUCCUAGAUGACAUGUGUCAUACAAAAUCUUGCUUCGGUCUGUUUGGAGACAGUGUUAGUUUUGGUGCAAGAUAGGUUCAAGGUUUGCACAUAAUGCAGCAUAAGCUAAGAAACCAUUUUGGACGCACCCGAUGGUACUCCUACGUAAAAGCCUCAAAUGAAAGAUCGAUUUGGUCUAUUUGGAGAUAGUGCUAAUCCUGAUGCAAGAUAGAUGCACGGUCUGCAUGGAACGUAUCAUAUGCUUAGAAAUUAAUUUGGACACACCCGAUAGAACUCCUUGAUGACGUGUGUCAUAUGGGAUCUCGCUUUGGUGUGCUUAGAGACAGUAUUAGUUUCAGUGCAAGAUAUGUGCACGGUUUGCGCCUAAUGCACCAAAGUCUAAGAAACCAUUUUGGUAGCACCUGUUGGUACUCCUAGGUUAAGAGGCUCAAGUGGAGGCUCGGUUCGGUCUGUUUAGUUAUAGUGCUAAUCUUGAUGCAAGAUUGGUGCACAAUUUGCAUGGAACAUACCAUAUGCUUAGAAAUCAAUUUGGACGCACCAGAUGGAACUACUAGAUGACAUGUGUCAUAUGGAAUCUCACUUCGAUCCGUUUAGAGACAAUGUUAGUUUUAGUGCAAGAUAGGUGCACGGUUCGCACCUAAUGCACCAUAAGAUAAGAAACCAUUUUGGACAGACCCGAUGGUACUCCUAGGUCAAGGGGCUCAAGUGAAAGCUCGAUUUGGUCUGUUUGGAGAUAGUGCUAAUCUUGAUGCAAGAUAGAUGCACGGUUUGCAUGGAACAUCCGAUAUGCUCAGAAAUCAAUUAGGACGCACCUGAUAUAACUCCUUGAUGAUGUCUGUCAUAUGGAAUCUUGCUUCGGUUCGCUUAGAGACAGACUUAGUUUUGGUAGAAGAUAUGUGCACGGUUUACGCCUAAUGCACCAUAAGCUAAGAAACCAUUUUAGACGCACCCGAUGGUACUCGUAGUUAAAGAGGCUCAAGUGGAGGCUCGAUUUGGUCUAUUUAGAUAUAGUGCUAAUCUUGAUGCAAGAUAGUUGCACAGUUUGCAUGGAACGUACCAUAUGUUAAGAAAUCAAUUUGGAUGCACCCAAUGGAACUCCUAGAUGACGUGUGUCAUAUGGUAUCUCACUUCGGUAUGUUUGGAGACAAUGUUGGUUUCGAUGCAAGAUAGGUGCAUAGUUUGUGCCUAAUGCACCAUAGUCUAAGAAACCAUUUUUGACGCACCUGUUUGUUCUCCUAGAUGAAGAGGCUCAAGUGGAAGCUCGGUUCGGUCUGUUUGGAGAUAGUGCUAAUCUUGAUGCAAGAAAGGUGCAUGGUUUGCACGGAACAUACAAUAUGCUUGGAAAUCAAUUUGGAUGCACCCGAUGGAACUCCUUGAUGACGUGUGUCGUAUGGAAUCUCGCUUUGGUCUAUUUAGAAACAGUGUUAGUUUCGGUGCAAGAUAUGUGCAUGGUUUGAGCCUAAUGCACCAAGUCUAAGAAACCAUUUUGGAAGCACCUGUUGGUACUUCGGUGAAGAGGCUCAAGUGGAAGCUCGGUUUGAUCUGUUUGGAGAUAGUGCUAAUCUUGAUGCAAGAUAGGUGCAUGAUUUGCAAGGAACAUACCAUAUGCUUAGAAAUCAAUUUGGACGCACCCAAUGGAACUCCUAGAUGACAUGUGUCAUAUGGAAUCUCGCUUCGGUCUGUUUGGAGACAAUGUUAGUUUUGGUGCAAGAUAGGUGCAUAGUUUGUGCCUAAUGCACCAGAAACCAUUUUUGACGCACCUGUUUGUACUCCAAGGUCAAGGGGCUCAAGUGGAAGUUUGGUUCGGUCUGUUUGGAGAUAGUGCUAAUCUUGAUGCAAUAUAGGUGUAUGGUUUGCAUGAAACAUACCAUAUGCUUGGAAAUCAAUUUGGAUGCACCCGAUGGAACUCCUUGAUGACGUGUGUCAUAUGAAAUCUCACUUUGGUCUAUUUAGAAACAAUGUUAGUUUCGGUGCAAGACAUGUGCAUGGUUUGCGUCUAAUGCACCAUAGUCUAAGAAACCAUUUUGGAAGCACCUGUUGGAACUUCAGUGAAGAGGCUCAAGUGGAAGCUCGGUUUGAUUUGUUUGGAGAUAGUGCUAAUCUUGAUGCAAGAUAGGUGCAUGAUUUGCAAGGAACAUACCAUAUGCUUAGAAAUCAAUUUGGACGCACCCAAUGGAACUCCUAGAUGACGUGUGUCAUAUGGAAUCUUGCUUUGGUCUGUUUGUAGACAUUGUAAGUUUUAGUGCAAGAUAGGUGCACAGUUUGCGCCUAAUGCACUAUAGUCUAAGAAACCAUUUUGGAUGCAUUAUUUGGUACUCCUUGGUCUGUUUAGAAACAGUGUUAGUUUCGGUGCAAGAUAUGUGCAUGGUUUGCGCCUAAUACACCAUAGUCUAAGAAACCAUUUUGGAAGCACCCGAUGGUACUCCUAGGUAAAAGGCUCAAGUGAAAGCUCGGUUUGUUCUAUUUGGAGAUAGUGCUAAUCUUGAUGCAAGAUAGAUGCACGGUCUGCAUCGAACGUACCAUAUGCUUAGAAAUUAAUUUCGACACACCCUAUAGAACUCCUUGAUGAUGUGUGUCAUAUGGAAUCUCGCUUUGGUGCGCAUAGAGACAGUAUUAGUUUCGGUGCAAUAUAUGUGCACGGUUUGCACCUAAUGCACCACAGUCUAAGAAACCAUUUUGGAAGCACCUGUUGGUACUCCUAGGUGAAGAGGCUCAAGUGGAGACUCGGUUCGAUCUAUUUAGAGAUAGUGCUAAUCUUGAUUCAAGAUAGGUGCACGAUCUGCAUGGAACAUACCAUAGGCUCAGAAAUCAAUUUGGACACACCAGAUGGAACUCCUAGAUGACAGGUGUCAUAUGUAAUUUCACUUCGGUCCGUUUAGAGAUAAUGUUAGUUUCGGUGCAAGACAGGUGCACGGUUUGCACCUAAUGCACCAUAAGAUAAGAAACCAUUUUGGAUGCACCCGAUGGUACUCCUAGGUCAAGGGGCUCAAGUGAAAGAUCGGUUUGGUCUGUUUGGAGAUAGUACUAAUCUUGAUGCAAGAUAGAUGUACGGUUUGCAUGGAUCAUACGAUAUGCUCAGAAAUCAAUUAGGACGCACCUGAUAUAACUCCUUGAUGAUGUGUGUCAUAUGGAAUCUUGUUUCGGUUCGUUUAGAGACUGUUAGUUUUCGUAGAAGUUAUGUGCACGGUUUACGCCCAAUGCACCAUAGGCUAAGAAACCAGAAACCAUUUUAGACGCACCCAGUGGUACUCGUAGUUGAAGAGGCUCAAGUGGAGGCUCGAUUUGGUCUGUUCGGAUAUAGUGCUAAUCUUGACGCAAGAUAGUUGCACAGUUUGCAUGGAACGUACCAUAUGUUAAGAAAUCAAUUUGGACGCACCCAAUGGAACUCCUAGAUGACGUGUGUCAUAUGGAAUCUCGCUUUGGUUUGUUUGGAGACAAUGUUAGUUUCGGUGCAAGAUAGGUGCAUAGUUUGUGCCUAAUGCACCAUAGUCUAAGAAACCAUUUUUGACGCACCUGUUUGUACUCCUAGAUGAGGAAGCUCAUGUGGAAGCUCGGUUCAGUCUGUUUGGAGAUUGUGCUAAUCUUGAUGCAAGAUAGGUGCACGGUUUGCAUGGAACAUACCAUAUGCUCAGAAAUCAAUUUUGACGCACUAGAUGGAACUACUAGAUGACAUGUGUCAUAUGGAAUCUCACUUCGGUCCGUUUAGAGAUAGUUUUAGUUUCGGUGCAAGAUAGGUGCACGGUUUGCACCUAAUGCACCAUAGGAUAAGAAACUAUUUUGGACGCACCCGAUGGUACUCCUAGGUCAAUGGGCUCAAGUGAAAGCUUGGUUUGGUCAGUUUGGAGAUAGUGCUAAUCUUGAUGCAAGAUAGAUGCACGGUUUGCAUGAAACAUACGAUAUGCUCAUGUGUGUCAUAUGGAAUCUCGCUUUAGUCUGUUUAGAGACAGUGUUAGUUUUGGUGGAUGAUAUGUGCACGGUUUGUGCCUAAUGCAGCAAAGGCUAAGAAACCAUUUUCGACGCACCCGAUGGUACUCCUAGUUGAAGAGGCUCAAGUGUAAGCAUGGUUUGGUCUGUUCCGAGAUAGUGCCAAUCUUGAUGCAAGAUAGUUGCACGGUUUGCAUGGAACGUACCAUAUGCUCAGAAAUCAAUUUGGACGCACGCAAUGGAACUCCUAGACGACGUUUGUCAUAUGGAAUCUCGCUUCGGUCUGUUUGGAGACAAUGUUAGUUACAGUGCAAGAUAGGUGCACAGUUUGUGCCUAAUGCACCAUAGUCUAAAACCAUUUUGACGCACCUGUUUGUACUCCUAGAUGAAGAGGCUCAAGUGGAAGUUCGGUUCGGUCUAUUUGGAGACAGUGCUAAUCUUGAUGUAGGAUGGGUGCACGGUUUGCAUGGAACAUACCAUAUGCUAAGAAACCAUUUUGGACGCACCCGAUGGUACUCCUAGGUCAGGGGCUCAAGUGAAAGCUCGGUUUGGUCUGUUUGGAGAUAGUGCUAAUCUUGAUGCAAGAUAGAUGCAUGGUUUGCACGAAACAUACGAUAUGCUCAUAUAACUCCUUGAUGACGUGUGUCGUAUGGAAUCUCGCUUCGGUUCGUUUAGAGAUAGUGUUAGUUUUGGUGGAUGAUAUGUGCACGGUUUGCACCUAAUGCACCAUAGGCUAAGAAACCAUUUUAGACGCACCGAUGGUACUCCUAGUUGAAGAGGCUCAAGUGGAAGCUCGGUUUGGUCUGUUCGGAGAUAGUGCUCAUCUUGUUGCAAGAUAGUUGCACGGUUUGCAUGGAACAUACCAUAUGCUCAGAAAUCAAUUUGGACGCACCAAAUGGAACCCCUAGAUGACGUGUGUCAUAUGGAAUCUCACUUCGGUCUGUUUGGAGACAAUGUUAGUUUCAAUGCAGGAUAGGUGCCCAGAUUGUGCCUAAUGCACCAUAGUCUACGAAACCAUUUUUGACGCACCUGUUUGUACUCCUAGAUGAAGAAGCUCAAGUGGAAGCUCGGUUCGGUCUGUUUGGAGAUAGUGCUAAUUUUGAUGCAAGAUAGGUGCAUGGUUUGCAUGGAACGUACCAUGUGCUUAGAAUCACUUUGGAUGCACCAGAUGGAACUCCUAGAUGACGUGUGUCAUAUGGAAUCUCGCUUUGGUUCGUUUGGAGACAAUGUUAGUUUCAGUGCAAGAUAGGUGCACAGUAUGUACCUAAUGCACCGUAGUCUAAGAAACCAAUUUGGACGCACCUGUUUGUACUCCUAGUUAAAGAGGCUCAACUGGAAGCUUGGUUUGGUCUAUUUGGAGAUAGUGCUAAAAUUGAUGCAAGAUAGGUCCACGGUUUGCAAGGAACAUACCAUAUGCUCAAAAUUCAAUUUGGACGCACCCAAUGGAACGCCUAGAUGACGUGUCAUAUGGAAUCUUGCUUCAGUCUGUUUUGAGACAUUGUUAGUUUCAAUGCAAGAUAGGUGCACAGUUUGCGCCUAAUGCACCAUAGUCUAAGAAACCAUUUUGGACGCACCUGUUGGUACUCCUUGGUGAAGAGGCUCAAGUGGAAGCUCAGUUCGAUCUGUUUGGAGAUAGAGCUAAUCUUGAUGCAAGAUAGUUGCACUGUUUGCAUGGAACAUACCAAAUGCUUGGAAAUUAGUUUGGACGCACCUAAUGGGACUCCUAGAUGACGUUUGUCAUAUUGAAUCUCGCUUUGGUUUGUUUAGAGAGAGUGUUAGUUUUGGUGCAAGAUAGGUGUACGGUUUACACCUAAUGCACCACAGGCUAAGAAACAAUUUUGGACGCACCUGAUGGUACUCUUAGGUAAAGGGCUCAAGUAAAAGCUUGGUUUGGUCUAUUUUGAGAUAGUGCUAAUCUUGAUGCAAGAUAGAUUCACGGUUUGCAUGGAACAGACCAUAUACUCAGAAAUCAAUUUGGGUGCACCCGAUGGAACUCCUCGAUGAUGUGUGUCAUAUGGAAUCUCGCUUCGGUCUGUUUAGAGAUAGUGUUAGUUUCGAUGCAAGAUAUGUGCACGGUAUGCGCCUAAUGCAACAUGGUCUAAGAAACCAUUUUGGACGAACCUGUUGGAACUUCUGGGUGAAUAGGCUCAGGUGGAAGCUCGGUUCAAUCUGUUUGGAGAUAGUGCUAAUAUUUAUGCAAGAUAGGUGAUGGGUUUGCAUGGAACAUACAAUAUUCUUUGAAAUCAAUUUGGACACACCUGAUGGAACUCCUUGAUGACGUGUGUCAUAUGGAAUCUCACUUUGGUCCGUUUAGAGAAGUGUUAGUUUCGGUGCAAUAUAUGUGCAUGGUUUGGGCCUAAUGCAUCAUAGGCUAAGAAACCAUUUUAGACGCACCCGAUGGUACUCAUAGGUGAAGAGGCUCGUGUGGAAGUUCGGUUGGGUCUGUUCGGAGAUAGUGCUAAUCUUGAUGCAAGAUAGUUGCACGGUUUGCAUGGAACAUACCAUAUGCUUGGAAAUCAAUUUGAACGCACCCGAUGGAACUCCUUGAUGACGUAUGUCAUAUUGAAUCUCGCUUCGGUUCAUUUGGAGAUAGUGUUUGUUGCCGUGCAAGAUAGGUGCACAGUUUGAAACUAAUGCACCAUAGUUUAAGAAACCAUUUUGGAUGCACCUGUUCAUACACCUGGGUGAACAGGCUCAAGUGGAAGCUUAGUUCGAUCUAUUUGGACACAGUGCUAAUCUUGAUGCAAGAUAAGUAAACGGUUUGCAUGAAACAUACCAUAUGCUUGGAAAUCAAUUUGGAUGCACCCAAUGGAACUCCUAGAUGACGUGUGUCAUAUGGAAUCUCGCUUUAGUCUAUUUGGAGAUAGUGUUAGUUUCGGUGCAAGAUAGGUGCACGGUUUGCACCUAAUGCAGCAUAGGCUACGAAACCAUUUUGGAUGCACCCGAUGGUACUCAUAGGUAAGGGAGCUCAAGUGAAAGCUCGAUUUGGUCUGUUCGGAGAUAGUGCUAAUCUUGAUGCAAGAUAGUUGCAUAGUUUGCAUGGAACGUACCAUAUGCUUAGAAUCAAUUUGGAUGCACCCGAUGGAACUCCUAGAUGACGUGUGUCAUAUGGAAUCUCGCUUCGGUUCGUUUGGAGACAAUGUUAGUUUCAGUGCAAGAUAGGUGCACAGUAUGUACCUAAUCCACCAUAGUCUAAGAAACCAUUUUGGACGCACCUGUUUGUACUCCUAGAUAAAGAGGCUCAAGUGGAAGCUCGGUUCGGUCUGUUUGGAGAUUGUGCUAAAAUUGAUGCAAGAUAGGUCCACGGUUUGCAAGGAACAUACCAUAUGCUCAAAAAUCAAUUUGGACGCACCCAAUGGAACUCCUUGAUGACGUGUGUCAAAUGUAAUCUCGCUUCAGUCUAUUUAGAGACAUUGUUAGUUUCAAUGCAAGAUAGGUGCACAGUUUGCUCCUAAUGCACCAUAGUCUAAGAAACCAUUUUGGACGCACCUGUUGGUACUCCUGGGUGAAGAGGCUCAAGUGGAAGCUCAGUUCUGUCUGUUUGGAGAUAGAGCUAAUCUUGAUGCAACAUAGUUGCACAGUUUGCAUGGAACAUACCAAAUGCUUAGAAAUUAGUUUGGACGCACCUAAUGGGACUCCUAGAUGACGUGUGUCAUAUGGAAUCUCGCUUCGGUCUGUUUAGAGAGAGUGUUAGUUUCGGUGCAAGAUAGGUGUACGGUUUGCACCUAAUGCACCAUAGGCUAAGAAAAAUUUUGGACGCACCUGAUGGUACUAUUAGGUAAAGGGCUCAAGUAAAAGCUUGGUUUGGUCUGUUUUGAGAUAGUGCUAAUCUUGAUGCAAGAUAGAUUCACGGUUUGCAUGGAAAGGACCAUAUGCUCAGAAAUCAAUUUGGAUGCAUCCGAUAGAACUCCUCGAUGAUGUGUCAUAUGGAAUCUCGCUUCGGUCUAUUUAGAGACAGUGUUAGUUUCAAUGCAAGAUAUGUGCACGGUUUGCGCCUAAUGCAACAUAGUCUAAGAAACCAUUUUGGAUGCACCUGUUGGUACUACUGGGUGAAUAGGCUCAAGUGGAAGCUCGGUUCGAUCAGUUUAGAGAUAGUGCUAAUCUUUAUGCAAGAUAGGUGAUGGGUUUGCAUGGAACAUACAAUAUUCUUUGAAAUCAAUUUGGACACACCCGAUGGAACUCCUUUAUGACAUGUGUCAUAUGGAAUCUCGCUUCGGUCCGUUUAGAGAUAGUGUUAGUUUCGGUGCAAGAUAUGUACACGAUUUGCGCCUAAUGCACCAUAGGCUAAGAAACCAUUUUAGACGCACCCGAUGGUACUCAUAGGUGAAGAGGCUCAAGUGGAAGUUCGGUUGGGUCUGUUCAGAGAUAGUGCUAAUCUUGAUGCAAGAUAUGUCGGUGUUUUGACCCCGGGGGGUAACACCAACGUGUGAAUUUGUGUGCGUGUUCCCUCUCCCAAAUGGUGAUGCAAGAAUGACACAGAGAUUUAUCCUGGUUCGGGCAAGAGAAGGCCCUACGUCCAGCGGGGGAGGAGAUCUUCUAUUAUCUUGCACCUAAGUGCUUGUACAGGGGUGAAUACAGGCGAAUGUUGCUAAGGAUUCUAUGUCCUAGAUGGUAGUGAUGUAUGGAAGGUUGUUCUACGUGUGUCUCUCUCCCUGUAUCACUUCCUCGGUGUCCCCUUUUAUAGUUCCAAGGGGAGACCCAGGUUACAAGUUGUAGGCAAUAGAGUAAGGCUCGAUAGGGGCAUGGCGCGCUGAUCUACUCGAGGCCUCCGUACCGGCGUGGCUUCGAGCCGUCUUGUUACUGGGUACUUUGGUGAUGAUUGCGCGUGCUUCUAGGUUUGGCUCCUGUACAUCGUCUCGGAUUGGCUUAGGUGCGAGAGUGCCUGUACAUCGUGGCAGUGGUAAGAGUGGUUGAAGCGCUGACUUUCAUUGCCUGACCCUUCCCUGGGAAGGAACGUAUUCACUCGAGGGUCUGGUACAGCGGAUGGCGUCGUUGAGCGAUGCGCUGACUCUGGGUGCCUCGAGGGAUGCCGUGAUGUGACAUCUCAGCUGUCACACUGUGCUGGGUUGUACUCUCGUUUAUUUGGGGGAUAAAGCUACGAAAAGUGGGGAUUGGACGGAUGCUUGUUCCCUAUCACGUUUCCGUGACUGUCGGGUUAUGUGAGAGCGUGCCAGGUGCAUUAAAUGCCCUGCCUCCCAUACCCGCGACAGGCGGCGGACAGCGCCUUUACGCUCGAGGCCUGUCGAUUCGCCUGAGCCACUUCCGUAUUCGACGAUCGUCAUUUAAUCGAGCCUCUGUCGAUUCGCACGACCUUGUUUCCGUGUUCGAGGCUAUAGUCGACAUCGAGCUUUAUUGAUUAUGUGUGUAAGCAGGGGCGUCGAGUUAGGUCCUCGACUUAUGUGUGGAUCCUUUUGUUAUGAGCGUUCGUUAGGGUACCCCUUACUGACACCCUCGACAGUAGCCCCUGAGUCUCUGCUCAAGCGCUUGCGCUCGAGUAGAGGCUCUUUUGUCGGUCGGGUUUCCAUGGGGGUCACACGCGCGACCCCCGCGGGGGUAGCCCCCGAGCCCUUGGGGGGUCUUUGACUCCAUCGAGGGCUAUACUGCUUUUUCUAAUGGGAUUGCUUCUGAUUUCCCCUUUCUCCAAAAGUCGUCUGAUCUUGAAGCGGGGCUUUGGGCCCUUGCUGGCCGGUUUUGCCUUUUCGAGGCUGGGGUCGUGACAUACUCCCAGUGGAGUGAGCGUCACCACCCCAGGAUGAGUUCCUAUCGGGUAAUCCAAGUGAGAACCCGUGCCCCGUUCGGGAGGGUCGGCUACAGCCCGGAGGCAUUCUCAUCAAAGCAGGGCUAAUGCGGUCGAGGUUACUGGUCUCAUUCGACAGAGUCCAGCGGCUCGAUGCCUCCCUCCGUGGGGAUUCGUCUCGACCCUCCUGCCCUUGCCUUGGAUAUCCCCAGUGAGUUUUCGAGGCAGGCCUCGUUUUCGACCCCUCACCGGGCAUCCCUGACUCUGGUACUCAAGGGCGACCGUCGAGCCCGUCUAGCGUGCCGGUCUGCGCUCCCUCGAGGUUUUCAUUGUGGUGCGCGCCUACUUUAUGUUGUAGGGGAAGAGCCGUGGCGGUUUGUUUCCUUGCCCGUUGGGCGCGCCUUUUUAGGAGGGAGACGUUGUAGCACUGUGCCGUUGUGGAAUCCAUAGCGUCCUGUCAGGAGGAGCAAUAAGACCGUUAGGCGGCGCAUUUACUAGGGAGGUUACCGUAUUCGUCGGAUCCACUGGUUAGAGUUGGGCAUCUAUAAAUAUCGCUGGAUCCCUUGGCUGCUACCCCUUUUGCUUUCCACCAUUGCUCCCGCCUUCACUCUCCUCACCCUCUUGACUCGCAACGCACCCUCGAGCACGCAACAGCAGAGCCGCCUUUCUCCUUCCGCCAUGAUGCCGGUGAAACUUGUCGCCCUUGACGAUUGGCGCCCGUCGUCCAUGACGGACCGUCGGUUGAUGGAUCUCGAGAAGGAGGGACUCCUGCGCCCCCGUACUUCUUCAUCGCGGCCAGAGUGGAUUGCGCCGGCGGUGGACCACCGGGAGCCGAGACCACCUAAAGGGUACGUGGUCUCCUUCGCCAAAUUUCAUCGCCAUGGCCUCAGCUCUCCCCCAAGCCGCUUCAUGCGGGUGCUCUGCCACCACUACGGUGUGGAGCUCCAGCACUUCACGCCGAACGCCAUCACCGCGCGGUGAUUUUUGCCGUGGUGUGUGAAGCCUACUUGGGAUGAUGCCGCACUAGGACUUGUGGCUCCGUCUUUACCGAGGCGAGCUCUUCCGCGCCCCUAGUGCAGCCACAGGGGUGAGGAAGCCAGUGCGGGCCGGCUGCCUUAACCUAGUGCAGAAGACAGGCCAGGCGGAGGAGCCUCGAGAGUACAUCCCGAUUGGGCUGACGUCGAACCACACCCAAUGGAAUUCCCAAUGGUUCUACCUUCGUAACGACGAUGACCUCUUCCCUGCCUACACCGGGCGCUUGAUUUCGGAGCACCCGAAGAACUGGAACUACGAUGUCGUCAAGACCCUUCAGUCGCGGCUCCGCCCCAUCCUCGACGCCAUGAAGAUGCUGCACGAGAAAGGUCUGACUGCUGCGCUCGUUCUCUCGACGGUCCACCAUCGACGGGUACUCCCGUUGAUGAGAAUGGACGAGAUGGGUCUCGGCGUCUCGUCUCGCGACCUCGAGGCAUGCCGGAUGUCCAACGAGGCGCUUGCGGACAAGGAGGUUGCCGCCAGGGUCAGGGCGGCUGUUGCCGGCGAUUUUCAGCCCAAGCAUGUCAACAGCUUCCCCAUGAAGCUCGAGGAGGGCACUGCGUCCUGGUGAGUUCUUCUUAUCGCUGUGAUGAGGACAUCAACACCAGCGAUACAUCCUCUCCUACAUCCUCUCCGACACAAGAGCUGGUCCUACAUCCUCUCCGACACAACCCAUAGCUGGUCCUACAUCCUCUCCGACACAACCUAUAGCUGGUCCUCUUACUCGUGCUCGUGUUCGUCAACUCAACCUUCAAGUAAGUUCAGUUUUAAACUCUUGUCAAUCAUAUUUAGACAAUGGAGACACGUGCACUUUCGUGUUGCUCAGGAAUAAUGGACAAGAUCAGCAAGGGAAGGUUCAACUGCAUUCAGAAUUUGAGGCAACACCAACUUCAAGGGUUGAUUGCAUAUGGGAAGAGUGAUAACUUAACAAAGGUGAUUGGAGAUCAGGUCCAAGCCUCCACAACAUCCUCUAUCAAGUUACCACGUCGCUUCUAAAGCAAGGAAACAAAGAGUCCAAACCCAACACGUUUUGGGAGUUGGAUUCGGACUGGAAAAUAACUCUAACUUGUAUGGAUCACCACGGCGUCAUAUGGACUCCAACUGGGACGUUCCUAUACUUGUUGGAAAGCUCAUGAAGUCUACUUUCCAAUGGGUCCAACCACAUAUCUAUGCAGCUUAUGAGUCGGGCGCAGUCCUUGUUUUCGUGCCGACACCUUUUUCUGUUUUGGUGCUGCGUCACCCUAUUUUGGACCAAUGGCCCAUGUAUCAAGUUGAGUCUAUUAGGGACGUGUCCUAGGGUUGGAGGACGACUCUCGCACCCCUUUGGUCGUCCUCCCCUCUAUUUAUUUACAUCUAGAGCCGCCAUGAACAACUGGGUUUUGUUUAGAUCAAGUUUAGCCUUCGCUACUUGCUUGUUGUAAUACCCGAUUUCAAGGACAAAACCAGAUAUGCACCAUAUGUGAGUCAUAGAAGUCAAAUCUCACAUAUAGCUAUAAAUAAGGGGUAAUAUCAAAAGACAAUGCAUAAAUAUAUAACGUACUUAAUAUAAAAGAGAUAACCUUGAUAGCAAACAGCGGAUAGACAACUCCGAACUUCGGGUAUUAACUUCUCUCUACAGGAUCCAACUGACUGGUUGAUCACAAGCCUAAACUUCUCCUGAGGUUUGAGGGAAAGAGCAAGAGUGAGUCCAUGUCAAACUCCACAAGUAUAGCAACUAGAUUGUAUAGCUCCCACAAUCUCAUGAUCAAUGUGACAUAAAUAAUGUAAAGCAUUAAACAAUAAACAAUGAGCAUAUUUAACACACAAGAUUCAUCACCCUUAAUGUAGAUGUCCCCAAGGCCGCUCCUGACCGUGAGCUCGGCUAGUAUACUAGUUUUAACACUCUGCAGAGGUUGUACAUCUUUACCCAUGAGUCAUGAUUUACCCUUUCGCCCGAGGUGAUCAGCCUCUUAACCCAAUACCAAGGAAGGUCGGCAGGGAUCACUAUGAAGCCUUUCAAAAGUUUGUCUAACAUGUUAGGGCCGCAAGGUUUCCUUUGCGCGCAGAUAUAGAUACCCCCCUUCCAAAUGGCACAAUGAUGCGCAGCCUAUACACAUAAGGACAGGGGCUCGCACUAUACCCAAAACGGUUCAGCCCCUCCGCCCUUUCGGGUAACCUCUAACAAGCUAGAAAAGGUCUUCAUACUGAGCUAAAGCCAGAGCCAUUAUAGCCCUCAUGGUUGCACUGUUGUCCCGGGUGAUCACGUACAGAUAAAUCAUCAAGUGGCUAAAAAGUCAUUUUUAUCAUUUAUUACUUAACAUUAAUCUAGUCACAGGAUCAUGGUCACAGAAAUAAAAUCCAAAUGCUAUACUUGCGGAGUUCGACAUGGACUCACUCUUGCUCUUUCCCCCAAACCACAGGAGAAGUUUAGGCUUGUGAUCAACCAGUCAGUUGGAUCCUGUAGAGAGAAGUUAAUACCCGAAGUUCGGAGUUGUCUAUCCGUUGUUUGCUAUCAAGGUUAUCUCUUUUAUAUUUAGUACAUUAUAUAUUUAUGCAUUGUCUUUUGAUAUUACCCCUUAUUUGUAGCUGUAUGUGAGAUUUGACUUCUAUGACUCACAUAUGGUGCAUAUCUGGUUUUGUCCUUGAAAUCGGGUAUUACACUUGUAGGCGCGCGUGCAGGAUCAGCCGCCCGUCUCCUUGUCUUCGGAACCCCAUUAUUGAUUAAGAUUCAGUUUGAAACCUUCAAUUCAUCUUGCAAAUUCAGUGCUUGUUUCCUCGUUCUUGCUAGUUCUUCGAUUGCUUGCAGGACGGGAGCCCUAGGGGCUGGUUGUCGCGCUCCCCAAGAUCGUGACGGCUACUGGACGUGGUGUAUCGGUUGCUAAGGCGCGGUCUUGAGGGCUGUAGUCGGGCCGUGAACGUCAUCUCCAUCCACCCCGUCUCUCAUCAAAAGAUCGGGCAAAAACCCUAGCGGGUUCGCAUCAGUUGGUAAUCAGAGCAAGGUUCUUCGGUGAGAGACUUCUAAUCCUUUGCUGUUUUUAAUUAAUUUCCUAUAGUCCAGAAAAGCCAAAAAAAAUAUAGUAGAUUAGUUUUUCCAUAAUCCUAUUAAACCUUUGUGCCUUGGCUAGUACCGUUUUAGUUAGGGCUUGUUGAAUUUGCGUUGCUUCGGUUUGUGUCGAGUUGCUGGUCUUAGUGUCUAGUCCUUUAGAGUUUCGAGUUCUUGUCACCAUCUAUACACAACCGAGUAUUACCAUAUCUUCUCUCUGUCGAAUCUGUUGCAAAGUCCGAAUUGAACUGUGGUCUUGGUCCGGAUCGAGUAGAGUUCCAAUCUGAGUUCAAAAAGAAAGAUAACUCCAUACUUGUUCGGCCUUACUCUAGAGAGAGAGAGUGUGUGUAGCGAAUUGCUCUUUUGUAUUCUUUUGUUCAUAUAAACAGUUUUUGAGGUUGCCCAAAAAAAAAGAAAAAAAAAGAAAAGAGAAAAGAUUCAAAAGAAAAAAAAAAGGGCUGUUUUUCAUAUUGACUUUAGGUUUGUUCCACCUUGUUUUCGGGGGUGUGCUGUGGUUUUCCUUUGUGUCCAGGCUCGCGUCUCUAGCACGGUCUAGCCUAGGACCAGCACAGUACCAUCGUCGAACGCUUAUUCAGCUCGCUUUUAUAACUAACGUGGUGCUAGUUCGUUCCUUGUUUCAGCCCACCUAUAGCUCCACAUACUCUACAGCUUGACAGGUCUUGUGCUGCAGCACCGGUACACUUCGUCCAUUGCUGUACACUUG
rnacentral:lncRNA from 1 species